GUCCAGUCAAACUGUUGUGCGAAAGGUUCAAUGCCUUGAUCUUGUUGAGGUUUCCAAUUUCAGGAGGAAUCUCUCCUGUGAAAUUGUUGCAUGAGAAAUCAAUUCCUGUUAAGUACUGGAUAAUGCUUCCUUUAUAAGGAAAGGAUACAUUCUUUAUUGUAAACUCGAAAGAUUGUUGUGAUGAGAACAUAGAAUAAUGGGAAUUGUAUUGAAUAGGGAAAGGAUGAGUAGAUAUCAUCCAAGAGAGGAUGUUACCAGAAAGAUAAUUGUGAGAUAGAUCAAUCACGGUUAAUUGGUCCAACCUGCAUAAUCGAAUUGGGAUUUCACCUUCAAGAUUGUUAUAACUCAAGAGUAGAAAUCUCAAGUUAGAUAGCCUGUCAAUCCAUUCUGGAAUUCUACCAGUUAAAUCAUUAUGGGAAAGAUCUAAUGCGAAUAUCUCAGAGGAGUCAGAAAAUGCCAUUGCGAUCGGUCCUUGCAACCUAUUUCUAGACAAAAAAACAUCUCUUAAUUUUGAAGAAGUGCCGAAUCUAGGUGGUAAAGGACCAGAUAAAUUGUUCCUUGAUAGGUCCAAGAAUUCAAGAGAAGACAUAUUCCCAAUCCAUCCAGGGAUUUGCCCUUGCAAACUGUUGUUGGACAAGUCUAACUCGUACAUCAAGCUCAUGUUACCUAAUGAGGAAGGAAUGCUUCCAUUGAAACCAUUAUCAGACAUCAAUAAAACUUCUAACCCUGAAAAAUGAGCUCCAAUUUCUGAAGGGAUUUGUCCUUGGAAGUGAUUCAUUGAUAUACUUAGGAAUGACAAAUUCACAUGAGAACUCUUUGGCAACAAGAAUGGACCUGAAAGAGAACAGUUUUCUAAAGAAAGAAGUUUGAGGUAUGUGUUGUUCUCAAUCAACCAAUUUGGAAACUCUCCCUUUAUUUGGAUGUUUGUAAGAUCCAAAGAUUGUAGGCUGAACUGAUGGUAAAGGAACUUGGGAAAUGCUCUCGUAUUUUGUCCACCAUUGCUCAAAGAGAGGGACUCUAACUGGAACUUUGGGGUGAGAUUAUGAUCAUCUUCUUCUGCGUAUAUUUCAUUCCCUGAACCAUAAAAAGACUUGAGUUUUGAAAGGUUGUAUAACGGGCUCAAUGACAUAGGUAUCUUCAAGUGAUUGGAAGAGAGAUAUAGUCGUUGAAGGGAAGUCAUAUUUGCCAGACACGGAGGCAAGAAACCACUUAGAUCAUUGUCAUUCAUAUAUAGCUCUUGAAGAUGAUUUAAGUCACAUAGGCCUGAUCACAUUAUAAUUUAGGAAAAAAAAAUUAAAACUUUGAGUUUCUAAUGGAAAAGAUAUAACCUAGGGAGAGGGUAAGAGUCAUCAACCUUACCUUGGGUUGUAGGUAAUUGGCCAUUUAGACUACAAUUCUGCAACCAUAAAGUUUUGAGAGAGGGCAUCGUUCUGAUGGUUUGUAAGAUGUUGUUACUGAGAGUAUUGGAACUUAAAUCCAAGAAUUCCAAGUUCUUGAGAUUAAAGAAGCCUACCACAAUCAAGAAAUUAUAUUAAUGUAGAAGCAAUUAAAAUUAUAAAGGAAAUGAAAGAGUAAGAGUCAUCAACCUUACCCUGGGUUGUAGGUAUUCGACCAUCUAGUCUGCAGCUGUGCAAAAUCAAAGUUCUAAGAGAGGUCAUUGUUCCGAUGGCUUGGAAGAUGCUAUUAUUGAGAGUAUUGUAACUCAAAUCCAAGUAUUCCAAGUUCUUGAGAUCAAGGAAGCCUGCCACAAUCAAUUAGACAAGAAAUUAUAUUAAUGUAGAAGGAAUGAAGAUUAGAAAUAAUUCAUUACUUAUUAAUCGUGGCUAAAAAAACUAAAAAUAUCCAGUAAGUGUAGAAAUUGUAUUGUCCAUUUAAGAGAAUGAUUUUUUAUAUGUCUACCCCAAAAAACAAAUGCACCUUUGUUAAUUUAUUUUUCUCCUAAAAAUAGCACUCUCUGUAUAUGAAGUUACCUUUUUAUUAAAGAAAUUAUUGUUUUUUAUGUUAUCAUUAUAUUUACUUUACAUUGAAAUGGUGUUGAGAGAGGGGUAAAGUUAAAGUGAAAUAUUAUUUAUAUUAAAUAGAUGGUAGAAUUUUAAAAUAAUAAAGAUUUCAAUUGAGUUAAUUUCUAAAUUUGAGGUUUAAUUGUCUCUCCAAGACUUGUUUAGUAGGUUGCGAAAACAUAAAAGAGGAAUUUUAUGCAAACACAUCUAAUCGUAGCAGGCCAUUGAGUGCUUGCAAAGACAGGUGUUUUAGAGAAGUAGAAAGGUCAAUGAUAAGUAAUAGUGGAGUUUAAAGUUGUUAAUUUACCUCUAGAAAGUACAAUGCCAUUGAGUGCUUGUAAUGACAUGUUUUUUAGAGAAGACAGUGCUCCAAGGCUUUGAAGAGAGUAUUCAUCUAGAGAACAACCGUCCAGAUACAAACUUUGCAAGGAGCUUAAAUUUUGCAACUCUGUUCAAAAGUAGCAAGUUGAAUUUUUCAAUUAAACCCAAAUAUAUAAACAUCACUGUAUAUAAUAUAUAACUUACCGUCACUUAAUAUUCUUCCUAUAAAAUCAUUGUAUCCCAUAGAAAGUUUCGUGAGGUUUGGGAAUGCUCGUAAUGAUUGCAGUAACUGGAAGCUACUUCCAUAGGUUGUGAUAUUUUCUAGCCAUAGACUCCUCAAGUUGCUUGGACCUGCAAGUUAGUUGGGGAAAAAACGUAUAGAUAUUAUUAAUAUUGUCCAAAAGCAAAAAUAAUUAAUAUUAUUAAUAUGGGCUCAAAUAUUAUCUUCAUGAUACCAUGUAAUGUGGAAGUUACUACUUACCUCUUGAGACUAUCAAUUUGUUAAUAUUGUUGCCGUUCAAAUACAAGAUCUCCAAGCUACUCAAAGAUUCUUGAUAUUUAUAAAAAUAAUAGUUAAUUAAUUCAUUACAAAACAUAAAUUGUGUUUUUUGAAAUUAAAUUUAAUAGAUAAUUGUGUUAAUUAAAUUUAAUAUUUAUAAUAAUAAUAGUAUAUAAAAAACCUAACCUUUCAAAUCUAUUAACCCCUUCCAAUCUAUAUAUCCAAAUAUAUAUUUAAGAGAGGAAGCAACUCCACAAAUGAUAGAAUACUACUAUCAAAACGAUUAAUUCCCAAGUCAAGAUACUUCAAAUUGCUUAGUUUCUGUAACUCAUAACCACCUAUAUAAAAAAAUAAAUUAAAUAAGAUUUCACAUGAAGAAUAAAAAAAGAUAUUAUUGGAGUAAUUUAAUUAUUAUUGAUGAAGAGUCAUGUAAUUAUUACAGUGACUUCAUGUAAAGAGGUUGAGAUGAUAAAAGUAAAAGUAAAAGGAGUGAUUGUUACAGUGAUGAUGUCAUGAUUAUAUUAAUAAUCUAAGGAAUUAAACAACACCUUAUUGCUAAAUAUUUUCUUCGAUGAUGAAUUACUCUGGAGAACCAAAAUGAUAAUAACUAAAAAAGUAAUAUAAAUAUUUUGUAAUACUUAAAGAGCAAACCUUUCUUCUCAACCCAACCAGCUAUACGAUUACCCCACAAGUGGAGAGCGUUGAGUUGUUGAAAAGGAAGAAACAUGUACUGCUGUUGCACCCAAUUCUUUACCAAUCACAGCAGUGGGCGUCAGUUUCUAUCCAGGAGGGAAGGGAGGUGCCAUUGGGAUAGUUAAGAGAAUCUUUGAGGUGCAACAGAGCGAUCCUCUCUUCCUCCAAGCAACCAAGAGGAUGCCAUCCUUGCAGGGAAACCGUCAUCACUAACACCGUCAACACCUGAAGGAACAGCCCCAUCUUAAUAUCAAAAUAUAAAAGGUGAUCAAUAUUUGUUAUAGAGGACAGCUAGCGAGGAGGUUAAGGCUUUUAUAGAGGACUUUGCGGACCCAUGCCGUGGAAAAAACCGCAUAGUGGCAACGGACACAUCCCCUCAAGGACAAUAAAUAUUUAUAAUUCAAUGUUCAUGACUUUCUUAAGCAAAAUCAAUUAAAAAAAAUCUGAAAAAAAAUCUCAGUAAUUUUAAAAAAUAUCUUAAUGAAAAACACACUCAGCAGCCACAUAAGUUAGAAGCUUCAUUUUUUUGGUUGAAAAAAAAAUUCCACUUCAUGGUCGCAUCCUCUCUCUCUUGUUUUUUUCUUAAUUUUUCAAUUGGCCGAAGUCCUAUUAAUAUUUUUUUGAUGCCGUGUUUUUUUCCUACUAAACACUAAAUUUUUAAUAUAAUUAUCUUAUGAACACUUUUUUUUUUUAAGUUUUAACAAACUAAAAGGUUGUUUGAGAAUAAAUUUGAAAUCAUAUUUUUUAAAAAAUUAAUUUUUUUGUUUAAAAUUAUUUUUUAUAUUUUUUUAUCGUUAUCAUAUGUUAAUGUGAAAAAUAAUUUAAAAAAAAAUUAAAAAAAAAUUAUUUUAUUUUAUUUCAGUACAUAAUUCACAAUAUCUGAAUUCAUUUAUUUAACAUUUAUCUUUAAUAUAUAUAAUCUGAACAUAGUUUUGAAACCUGACCCGGCGGGUCGACCCGGGACCCGGCCGACCCAGGGCUGGAACCGGGCCGGAUUGAAGAAAAAAUAGGAAAAGUCAUGACCCGGUAUGACCCGGCCGACCCAGCGGGUUGACCCGGUGACCCAGUUGACUUUUGAUUGAUAAGAAAUGACAGCUGGUUUUUUUUUUUUUUAUUAACGUGGAUGUCUAGACCAGCUUGCACGUACAUCGAUUAAUCCCACAGACCUUGAAGUUAACGACCAUGUAAGUCUCCAAAGAUCAUGAGAGAACUUGAACUCGUGACUAUUAAAAAACAAACCCAAAACCUAACUAGUUAAACUACAUCUUAGAGUUUGGUUCUUAAUAUUCUUGAUAGCCUUGCAAGAGUAAUGAGUGUGUUUUUUCAUCACAUUCCUAGUUUUUUUUUUUUUUUUUUGUGUGUUAUUUUAUUUGCUGGCUUCUUCUCAAUUGCUUCAAUCUUAUUCAUGUUUUUCCACGAAAGACUUUGACUUGGGAUCAACUUUUCGGCUAAUUACUUUUAUGCAAUUCAAAUUUAUGUUAGUAAAAUCACUUUAAUUAUUCUUUCAAUAUUCCCGUACGUGUGAUUCACUGCUUGGUGAUUCUAAAGUCACCUGUUUAAAAUUUAGGACAGCUAAAUUUAUACGACUAAAUUUAUUCUUACGAUAUUAUUCCUUUGGUAUAUAGUAUAUAUUCAAACAUAAAAACAUGUUUUUUAUGUUCCCACUAUUUUUGUAUUUUAUAUCAUGGUGCCUGAUUACCAUAACACUAAGUCAUAAUAAAUAAAUAAAUAAAAUUGAUUGUGGAAUGGCACAUGUAUUCGGGGAAAAAUAAAAAAAAUAAUCUUAUUGCUAGAGAUGCAUUGGAGCCUUUAAUAUUUUGCAAAGGCAUGGAACACUGAUGGCGUCAGCCCAGAAAAUUCUAAAAUAUUCUCGUCAUUUCCAAGAAAAAUCUAUCAAGAGGAAUUCUUUAUUUAUUUGGUAGGCAAGCAAAGUCAAAAGGGAGUGGUAGCUCAUCAUUUCCAAGAAAAUUCUAUCAAGAAACGAAGAUAUUUUUGAAGAAUAACAGAAAAUAAAUAAAACCAAAGCAUUUCCCCAAUUUAUUUUUGAUAAUUUAGCUUUAAUUAAACUUAAGUUAAUUUUAAUUUUUUAUGAAAAGAUAAUAUUAAAAUAAAAUAUUAAAAUAAAAAAACACCAAAUAUGAGUGUCAUACCAUAAAUUUCGUAAAGAAUAUACUUUUAUUCUUAAAUUUUAAAAAUCACGCAAAUCAUACAAUUUCAGUACCUCAAUAUUUUUUCAAUUUGAUUUUAAUACAAAAAUUUAUUUUUGUUAUUUUUUAAUACAUGAUUGAGAGAGGAGAGAGAGGUCAUCAGAUUCUAGUGAUGGAGAAAAAAAAAUGCAUUAAUAUCGAUUUAGAUUACCAAAACAGACACUAUUUGUGUCAAAUAGCUUUAUUUAAUAAGGAAAGCUCAUAUUAAGUAUUUUUUUUAUCUUUAAAGUUCUUGAAAAAAUAAAUCUAAUCUUCGGUUGAUUUUCUACCUUGAAAGAAACAUGAUAAUUUUUUUUUUUUGUGUCUUAACACUACUGAUCACUUCUUUAAAUACGCAUUAUUGUUGAUGAAUGAGAAUUUAAGUGAAUCGAAUUUAAGGAUUUCUAGAAGAAUUAAUUCUCUUAAAUUUUGUCAUAUUUUUUGUUUUUGUUUUUAUUAAUUUGGCUUUUCUUUCUUAAUUUUUAAUAUGUUUUGGAUGAAAAUGAAAUAUUUUAUAUAAAUUUUAAAAACAACUAUGAGAUUUAUUCAUAAAUAUUUUGUGUGACUCUUUACUUAUAUAAACGGAUGAAGCAUGUAAAUUAUAGUAAUUUUUUUUUAUAAUAGUUUUAAUCUGAAUAUCUUUUAGGAAAAAAUGCAUGAUGGAAAUGUUCUCUCGGACCCACCUCAUGGGGAAAACAUGUACGAUGGCACCAUCCAACAGGCCCAUUCAUGGAAAAAUGGAUGAUGGCAAUGGUCUAACUCUUGGAAAAAAUGGAGAAAAAAAAAAAGCAGGAUGGUAUAGGACGGCAGUGUACUCUUCAUCACAGUCACUUUCGUUUUCGUUUUUGAUAUUAUUAAGUAUUGCUUGCGUGGAUUUUUUUUACUCCGCAAGGCCUCACUGUUUUCUCGAGUAAUAUUAAGGAUGGAUUAUAUAAAAUUUUAUAUUUUUCAAUUUAGUUUUCAAAUUUAGUUUUUGAUGAUUUAGUUCUAAUUAAUAAUCAAUUGAUUUUGAUUUUGAUUUUUUAUAUAAAAAAAUUAAAAAAAAAUAAAUCGAAAUAUAAAAAGAAAGUUAAACAUGGAUGUUAUAGUCUUACAAAAGAAACACUUUUACUCCCUUCAUUAUAUUUAUUCAUAUAAUUCUGUGUUACUAUUAUUUAUAUACAUGUGCCAAACUAGAAAAUUAUAAAUCUUCAAAACAACACUGAGAUUUAUUCAUAUAUAUUCUGUGUUACAAUUACUUAUAUAAAUGGAUGAAGCAUGAAAAUUAUAGAAGGAGAUUGUUACAUACUAAACUCUGAAGAUGAAAUUGAGAAAUCUCAAGAAUAAGUCGUUUCAGAAGCCAAGAAAGAAGAUAAAAAAAGAUGGAAAUUAAUGAGCUUCCUAGCGUUAACCUUUUAUUUAUGUUUUUUCAUUAAAGACUGACAUCAGCCUUAUUAAAUUUGAUUCGGCAGGAAAGGUUGAUGUGAGAUCUAGUUUAACCUGAGUUUAGAUAAAACUAAGUGAGAGUUUACCCGUUAAACUUGAAUGAUCAGAUUAGUUAACCCGUAAAUAGUUUAAUUUAAUCAAAACAUGGUUUUCUUUUUUAACUAUGCAAUUUUUACUUUUUUUUUUAAAAAAGAAUAUCUUAAAAUGACACAAUUUUAAAUUAACACCAGUAAACAUGAAAUAACCUGCACAAUCUAUUACCUAAACCCUGAUUACUCAUGGUCCGAUGAAGAGGACCUUCUUAAGCUAGUUGUAGUAUAUAGAGAAUUUCUUAAUAACAUCUUAGAAAUAUAAUUCACAUCCGAAUUAAUAAUAUAAUAGGUUUUAAUAUUUACUUUUAAUAUAUAUAUAUAUAUAUAUAUAUAUAACACACUAAAUUGAGAUUUUUUUAUACAAGAUGAAAUUAAAACAUAUUAUUCUUUCUCAAGCUUACGGGGCAAUAUAUUUAUUUUAUUUAAAAACUUGUAUUGAUUUUAUUUUUUUUCCAAUUUGAAUACUUGUAUUCACGAAAUGGUUAAUAAAAUAUCUUUGUUAGUUUUGUUAUAAAAUAAUGACAUCACAGUUAACUCCUUUUGAAUAACUCCUUUUAGAUGAGUUUGAAUUUAUUUUAUUUUAUUUUUAAUUUUUGAACUAUAAGAAUAUAGAUAAAUUUAAAAUAAAUAUUUUCUUACAAUAGUCUUAGAGUGAAAUUAGAGCAAAAUUUAUAAUUUUAAAAUAAAAAAUACAUAAAAACAUGUUUUUCUGUUCCCACUAUUUUUGUAUUUUAUAUCAUGGUAAUUAAAUGUUGCCUGAUUAACAUAACACUAAAUUAUAAUAUAAAAAAUUAAUUGUGGAAUGGCAUGGUAGUUGGAUCUAUUUGUUUUUUUUUUUUUCGUGUGUGUGAUUAAAUUAAUUAUCUCGAUAAAUGACACAUGUGUUUGGGGAAAAAUAAAAUUAAUUAUUGCUAGAGAGGCACUGGAGCAAUUGAUAUUUUGCAAAGGCAUGGAAUUCGAUGCCAAGGGAAUGUAAGAUAGUUGUUGACUAGACUGCUGGCGUCAACGUGAUAAAGCAAUUAAUUAUAGUUAGCAACGACAAGCUGAAUUCAAGUUAGAUUUAAAGUUGGAUAAUAACUAUUUUUUAAAAUAUUUUUAUUUGAAAAUAUAUUAAAAUAAUAUAUUUUUUAUUUUUUAAAAAAUAUUUUUGAUAUCAAUAUAUAAAAAAAUCAAAAAAUAUAAAAAAAUAAUUUUAAAUAAAAAAAUCAAAAUUUAUCCAAUUUUUAUUUGAAGUCCCAAUAGGAGCAUAUCCAGGAAAAGUCUAAUCAAACCAAAGCCGUGAAAUUAGAAACCAAAAGAUUGACUAAAUUUGUUUUUAUAGUGAGCCAGCUUAGUGGUUGGGCAAAAACUUGAUGGAAAGAUUAUUAUUUAUUCAUCAAAACAAUUAUUUAUUUUGGAGGAAAACCCAAACUCAAUUUCAUUUGAUCAAAGUCACACCAUCAAAGAAACCCAAAAAAAAGUAUUUAAUUGAUAUAAUAAUUUUUUUUUUGGUAUACUAAUAUAAGAAAAAUAAAAAUCUAUUAAAAUGAGUGGCACUCGAACAACUUUAAAUGUUUUCAUACUUUAUCUUCCAGGCAAGAAAAAUCAAUAAAAAUAGGCGACGCUAUUUUGUAAAUUGAUAGAGAUAUCAAUAAAAAAAACAUGGAUAAAUUUUUUUUUCAAUUUGAAUAUUUAUUUUCAUGAAAUCUGAUAAAUAAAAUAUCUUUAUUAGUUCUAUUAUCAUAAUGAUGAUGAUGUCAUAGUUAAUUUUUUUUUUAGAUGAGUUUGGAUUGAUUUUAUUUUUUUUAUUUUAUUUUUAUUUUUUUAAAAAAUUGUUUUGUUUUCAGUUUGAAUUUAAAUAUUUAUUUUCAUGAAAUCUGAUAAAUAAAACAUAUAUCUUUAUUAGUUCUAUUAUCAAAAUGAUGAUGUCAUAGUUAAAUUCUUUUAGAUGAGUUUGGAUUGAUUUUAUUUUAUUUUUAAUUUAUGAAAAGUAAAGAUAUGUAAAAUACUUAUAUUUAAUAUUUUUUUAUUCAAGUACUCUAAUUGAUUUUUUUUUAUUUAAGUACUUAAUAAACUAGUGUGUGACCAUAAAUUUGUUUACAGAAUAAAUGUAAGGUUUACAUAAAGUAACUAUGGAAUAAUAAGAAUAUUAACAAUAAGAUUUAUUUAUAAAUAAAUCAUAGAUUUAAUGUCUCUAAAUUUUAAAUUUGGUGUGAAUAAAUUCAAGGGAUUUACAAGAUAAAUAGGACAAUAUUAGCCUUCGAGAAUCUCCCACUCUUCCUCUUCAAGGAAUUAAUUAGUGGGUAGUUAGUUUGUUCUAUUUUCUUCACGUUGUUUAUAGUUUUACCUAUAUUAUUGUCACAAAUUAGGAAUAGUUAAAACUAGUGAUAUUUCUCGCUUGCUAUUAAAACUAUAGUUUUUUUAAUUUGUUUCUCAAUUAUUGAAACAAUAAUAUUUUUAAUAUUAUCAUUCCCAUACUUUUAUAAAAAUCAUUUCUAUUAAACCACAUUAACAUGUUUAAAUUAAAGUAUAUUAUCCCUUCUUAAUUAAGGAACAAAAAUUAAACAAGCUUACGAACCCAGCUCGUGGAACUGCCUUGUUCUUUUUUCUUCUUUUUUUGAACUGCCUUGUCUCUCUUUCUUUUUUGUCUUCCAUUUCUUAAUCCUUCAAGAUUUAAAAUACAUAGCAAUUUAAGUUAGGAAUGUUGAUGAAACAUUAAAUAUAACCAGAAAACAAAUAAAAAAAUUAAUUAUUAUUUUUUAAAGUAUUUUUUACUUAAAAAUAUAUUAAAAUAAUAUAAAUUUUAUUUUUUAAUAUCAGCACAUUAAAAAAAUCAAGAUAUAUAUAUAUAUAUAUAAAAUAAUUUUAAAUAAAAAAUUAAAAUUUUAUCCAAUUUUUAUUUGGCCAACCGGGGCAUAUCCAGGAAAAGUCUAUCAAGAAACGAAGAUAUUCGGAGAAUCACAGAAAAUAAAUCAAACCAAAAGAUGGAUCAAAUUUGUCUCUACAGGAGCCAUCUUAGUGAUGGGGCAAAAACUUGAUGGAGAGAUAAUUAUUUAUUUAUCAAAACAAUUAUUUAUUCUAGAGAGGAAAACCCAAACUCAAUUUCAUAAUAAAAAAAGUUGGCAUAUUAAUAUAAAAAAAUAAAAAUCUACUAAAAUGGAUGGACUCAAAUAGUUCUGAAUGUUCAUCUUGUGAUCCAUUUUUGGGUCCCCGCACAAAAAAAAAAUCAAUCAAAAAUAUAUCAAAAAAAUAAUAAUUGUAGUGAAAAGAGGAUGUUAGAGCGUCUAGAAAAUGGUCAAAAUCAAUCCUAAAAGUCAAGCAUUAUUCUUGCAUGGUUGAUCUUUGUGCGCGUGCAGGACUUUUGAACGAAGCUUGGGACUUGAUCAAGAAGAUGCCUGGAAAACGAGAUGAAAUUGUGUUGGGGUCAUUGCUUGGUGCUGUCAGAGGCGUAGAAAUGCAGAUGUUGGUGAAAGGGUCAUUCAAUUGUUUCCAGAGAUGCAAUUAUCUCAUCUAAGAUAUAUGCAAAUAUGAGAAGGUGGGAUGAUUCUGCAAAGAUGAGGCAGUGUGGUGUCUCUAAAACCCCUGACUGUAGCUGGAUUGACGUUGGAGCUCGUGCUCAUGAAUUUCAUGCUGGUGACAGCUUACAUCAUCAUUCGUAGAACAUAUACCAAUUGCUGAAUGAGGAGAUGAAGAGAGAAGGUUACAUUCCAAAUAUAUAUCGGUUGCAUAUAGAGGUGGAAAUGUUGAAAACUUGGUGGCCUCUUUCAGCCAUUGAGCAGUGCAUUCGGAGGGAUUGUAUCUUCUGGUUGAUGACUAUAGCCAAAAUGUUGAAUGAUAAGUUGUGUUCUUAAGAGCUUGAGCAAGGAUCUCUAUCUUGCUGAUAGAAAUGUAUAGUUUACCCUCACAUGAGUAUGUUUCUGUAGAAUGAAAAUGGUUGUUGGAUUGGUACAUGCAUUUGCUGUAAAAUAAUGCAAGUUCAUUGCGGAAAGAAUGCUAAAACUAUUUUUUUUUCCAGAACAUAAGGAGGGAAUGCAGGGGGGAUAUUGGUGGAUUGAAAUAAAAUGCACUUGACACCUUAUAAGUUUUUAAGGGAUGCCAUAAAUCAUCAUUUUCAAUAGUCCUCUAAGCCAUAAUGUUGUUUAGUUUCUGAACAGACUUCACUUGGAAUCUGACAGAACCCAAUCUACGAUUAGAACUUAUGCAGAAAUUGCCUCAUAACGGGACUCCAUAUCUAUUUGUCUUUCCCUAGUGGGACCUUGUCAUUUCAAUUGUUGAUGUAAAUGCAGUGUAAAAUGUUUUUAGGCCUUGAUUGUAGUUUCUGCUUGGAAAGUAGUUUCUAUAAAAAAUAAAUUAUUCAAAAAUAAAUUAUUUUAUGAUAUUUAGCAGUGUUAUAAAAAAUAAAUUGAAAAAUAUUUUUAUUUUUCCUGUUUAAUUAUAGCAGACUUAACUUUAUUUUCAUAUAUUCUUUCGCCAUAUAUUUGUCCAUUUCUAAUUGGAUCUAUUAUUCUUGUAAUUCUCAUUUUCUAGUUUUUUUUAGAGGAGGUUUAAUUUUUUUGUUUUUACCUCCAGGUGAAAGCUAAGGUUUUCUAGUUUUCUGUACAUCACUUUUGGAACAUCCGAUACCUAGUCUAAGCGUAAUUAAAUGACUUUAAUCAAGCAUUGCAGCAUAUGUUGGACGUUUGAGAUUAGAGUAUUCAGAAGUGGAGAUGAAUUGUUAUGUGGAAUCUCGAGACUGCUUUGAUUCAUUAAUUUGCUCAAUACCGGGUGGUCAUCCAUUUCAAGUGGGGAGUGCCAUAUGGGCAAGGGUCAGCCCUGAAGGGAUUCGUUCUCCACAUUACCCUUUGAUAUUAGCUGGGAAACUCAAUCUAAGACAGCUCAAUACUCUCAGUUACUAAAGUUGUAGAUCAAACAAAUUAUCUAAGUGCUCACAAGCUUAUAUACAAUCAGUGAAACAANNNNNNNNNNNNNNNNNNNNNNNNNNNNNNNNNNNNNNNNNNNNNNNNNNNNNNNNNNNNNNNNNNNNNNNNNNNNNNNNNNNNNNNNNNNNNNNNNNNNAUUGAUCAUCCGUAAAUCAAGUAAUAAUGUAAUAUACAAGGAAAGUAAAAACUCAUGGAAUUGAAAAGCCUCCGCUAUAUAAAAACCCUUAAAACCGAAUGGAACUGUAUAAAUUAAUACGACAUCGUUUGGGCAUGCUUUUAAACUUGUUUAAAUCUUAAAACUAGAAUACACAAUGAAGCACAAAGUCUUGGUACCAUCAAAGCUAUGAAAACCCAAACUUGGAUAAAAUGGGAAGAUUAUCCACUAGAAAAUAAUAGCAAUUGUUGAUGCUCACCUCAAUAAAGUGAAACCAAGCUCGUCGCCAAUAUGGAUUUAUAUAUAGAACUGCACCAAUCACCAGCAGCACCAUGAUGUAUGCAACCCAAAAGGUCACAUAGAAAACCUCCAUAUUCAUGAAGCCACCAUGAUCUUCAUUGUUCGUUGAAGUUGGCGUUGAUGAUGGUGGCAUAACAGCAGCACAUAUUUUGGGUAGCGGUUCUCCACAAAGAAAAGGGUUGUCCUUGUAGCAACUCUCAUCAAACGUGGCAAACUGUGCAACUCUCGCAGGAGUCUUACCGGAUAAAUUAUUGUGAGCCACACUAAAAACUUCUAGAGAAAAUAGUUCAGUAAGUCGAGGUGGGAUUUCUCCAUCCAGUUUGUUGUAGGAAAGAUCCAAGCUCUCUAUUUCCUUUAAGUUCCAAAAUGUUGGUGGAAUUGGUCCAGUCAAACUGUUGUGCGAAAGGUUCAAUGCCUUGAUCUUGCUGAGGUUUCCAAUUUCAGGAGGAAUAUUCCCGGUGAAAUUGUUGCAUGAGAAAUCAAUUCCUAUUAAGUACUGGAUAAUGCUUCCUUUAUAAGGAAGGGAUACAUUCUUUGUUGUAAACUCGAAAGAUUGUUGUGAUGAGAACAUAGAAUCAUGGGAAUUGUAUUGAAAAGGAAAAGGAUGAGUAGAUAUCAUCCAAGAGAGGAUGUUACCAGAAAGAUAAUUGUGAGAUAGAUCAAUCACGGUUAAUUGGUCCAACCUGCAUAAUCGAAUUGGGAUUUCACCUUCAAGAUUGUUAUAACUCAAGAGUAGAAAUCUCAAGUUAGAUAGCCUGCCAAUCCAUUCUGGAAUUCUACCAGUUAAAUCAUUAUGGGAAAGAUCUAAUGCGAAUAUCUCAGAGGAGUCAUAAAAUGCCAUUGCGAUCGGUCCUUGCAACUUAUUUCUAGACAAAUAAACAACUCUUAAUUUUGAAGAAGUGUUGAAUCUAGGUGGUAAAGGACCAGAUAAAUUGUUCCUUGAUAGGUCCAAGAAUUCAAGAGAAGACAUAUUCCCAAUCCAUCCAGGGAUCUGCCCUUGCAAACUGUUGUUGGACAGGUCUAACUCGUACAUCAAGCUCAUGUUACCUAAUGAGGAAGGAAUGCUUCCAUUGAAACCAUUAUCAGACAUCAAUAAAACUUCUAACCCUGGCAAAUGAGCUCUAAUUUCUGAAGGGAUUUGUCCUUGGAAGUGAUUCAUUGAUAUACUUAGGAAUGACAAAUUCACAUGAGAACUCUUUGGCAACAAGAAUGGACCUGAAAGAGAACAAUUUUCUAAAGAAAGACGUUUGAGGUAUGUGUUGUUCUCAAUCAACCAAUUUGGAAACUCUCCCUUUAUUUGGAAGUUUGUAAGAUCCAAAGAUUGCAGGCUGAACUGAUGGUAAAGGAACUUGGGAAAUGCUCUCGUAUUUUGUCCACCAUUGCUCAAAGAAAGGGACUCUAACUGGAACUUUGGGGUGAGAUUAUGAUCAUCUUCUUCUGCACAUAUUUCAUUCCCUGAACCAUAAAAAGACUUGAGUUUUGAAAGGUUGUAUAACGGGCUCAAUGACAUAGGUAUCUUCAAGUGAUUGGAAGAGAGAUAUAAUCGUUGAAGGGAAGUCAUAUUUGCCAGACACGGAGGCAAGAAACCAAUGAGAUCAUUGUCAUACAUAUAUAGCUCUUGAAGAUGAUUUAAGUCACAUAGGCCUGAUCACAUUAUAAUUUAGGAAAAAAAAUUAAAACUUUGAGUUUCUAAUGGAAAAGAUAUAACCUAGGGAGAGGGUAAGAGUCAUCAACCUUACCUUGGGUUGUAGGUAAUUGGCCAUUUAGACUACAAUUCUGCAACCAUAAAGUUUUAAGAGAGGGCAUCGUUCUGAUGGUUUGUAAGAUGUUGUUACUGAGAGUAUUGGAACUUAAAUCCAAGAAUUCCAAGUUCUUGAGAUUAAAGAAGCCUACUACAAUCAAGAAAUUAUAUUAACGUAGAAGCAAUUAAAAUUAUAAAGGAAAUGAAAGAGUAAGAGUCAUCAACCUUACCUUGGGUUGUAGGUAUUUGACCAUCUAUUCUGCAGCUCUGCAAAAUCAAAGUUCUAAGAGAGGUCAUCGUUCCGAUGGCUUGGAAGAUGCUAUUAUUGAGAGUAUUGUAACUCAAAUCCAAGUAUUCCAAGUUCUUGAGAUCAAGGAAGCCUGCCACAAUCAAUUAGACAAGAAAUUAUAUUAAUGUAGAAGGAAUGAAGAUUAGAAAUAAUUCAUUACUUAUUAAUCGUGGCUAAAAAACUAAAAAUAUCUAGUAAGUGUAGAAAUUGUAUUGUCCAUUUAAGAGAAUGAUUUUUUAUACGCCUGACCCAAAAAUAAAAAUACACCAUUGUUAAUUUAUUAUCCUCCUAAAAAUAGCACUCUUUGUAUAUGAAGUUACCUUUUUAUUAAAGAAAUUAUUGUUUUUUACGUUAUUGUUUAAAUUAUAUUACACUAAAAUGAUGUUGAAAGAGGGGCAAAAUUAAAGUGAAAUAUUAUUUAUAUUAAAUGGAUGGUAGAAUUUUAAAAUAAUAAAGAUUUUAAUUGAGUUAAUUUCUAAAUUUGAGGUUUAAUUGACUUUCUGUUUUUUUUAUAUUAUGAAUUUAAUUUCUAAUGGAUUUGAGUUGACUAGGUUAUGAAAACAUAAAAGAGAAAUUCUAAUUUAGCAGGCAUAGAAGAAGAAUAGUCAAUGAUAAGUAAUAGUGGAGUUGAAAUUUGUUAAUUUACCUCCAUAAGGUACAGUGACAAUGAGUGCUUGCAAUGACAGAUUUUUUAGAGAAGGCAAUGCUCCAAGACUUUGAAGGGAGUGUUCAUCUAGAGAACAACUGUCCAGAUACAAAUUUUUCAGGAAGCUCGAAUUUUGGAACCCCUGUUUGUCAAAGUAGCAAANNNNNNNNNNNNNNNNNNNNNNNNNNNNNNNNNNNNNNNNNNNNNNNNNNNNNNNNNNNNNNNNNNNNNNNNNNNNNNNNNNNNNNNNNNNNNNNNNNNNNNNNNNNNNNNNNNNNNNNNNNNNNNNNNNNNNNNNNNNNNNNNNNNNNNNNNNNNNNNNNNNNNNNNNNNNNNNNNNNNNNNNNNNNNNNNNNNNNNNNNNNNNNNNNNNNNNNNNNNNNNNNNNNNNNNNNNNNNNNNNNNNNNNNNNNNNNNNNNNNNNNNNNNNNNNNNNNNNNNNNNNNNNNNNNNNNNNNNNNNNNNNNNNNNNNNNNNNNNNNNNNNNNNNNNNNNNNNNNNNNNNNNNNNNNNNNNNNNNNNNNNNNNNNNNNNNNNNNNNNNNNNNNNNNNNNNNNNNNNNNNNNNNNNNNNNNNNNNNNNNNNNNNNNNNNNNNNNNNNNNNNNNNNNNNNNNNNNNNNNNNNNNNNNNNNNNNNNNNNNNNNNNNNNNGGGCUCAUCAUCAUGACGUUAACAAGUAGGUAAUGUGAAUGUGUUACGAAUUACCUCUUGAGGCUAUCAAUUUGUUAAUAUUAUUGCCGCCCAAAUACAAGGUCUCCAAGCUGCUCAGAUAUUCUUGAUAUUUAUAUAAACAAAUAGUUAAUUAAUUCACUACAACACAAAAAUUGUGUUUUUCAAAAUUAAAUUUAAUAGAUAAUUGUGUUUAAUUAAAUUGAAUAUUUAUAAAAAUAAUAGUAUUUAAAAAAACUAACCUUCCAAAUCUAUUAACCCCUCCAGCCUAUUAUAAUCUAAAUAUAAUAAUUUAAGAGAUGAAAAUCCCUUCAUAGAUGAUAAAAUACUGUUAUCGAAGCUAUUAGAUCCCAAGUCAAGGAUCUCCAAAUUGCUCAAUCUUGAUAAUUCAUAACCACCUACAUAAAAUCAAAAAUAAAAUUAAGACUUCAUGUAAAGAAUAAAAAAGAUAUUAUUGGAGUAAUUUAAUUAUGAUCAUUGAUGAAGAGGCAAGUAAUUGUUACAGUGACUUCAUGUAAAGAGGUUGAGGCGGUGAAAGAGAAAGGAAUAAUUGUUACAAUGAUGAUGUCAUGAUUAUAAUAAUGUAAGGAAUUAAACAACACCUUAUUGCUAAAUAUGAUUUCUAUUUUCUUCUAUGAAUUACUUACUGUGGAGAACCAAAAUUAAUGAUACUAAUUAAACAACACCUUAUUUGAUUAAUUUAAAAAAACUGAUCUAAAUAUUUUGUAAUACUUAAGAGAGCAAACCUUUGAUCUAAAUAUUUUGUAAUACUUAAGAGAGCAAACCUUUGUUCUCAACCCAACCAGCUAUACUAUUAUUCCACAAGGAGAGAGUGUUGAGUUGUUGGAAAGGAAGGAACAAGGAGGCAUUUAAGUACCAAUCUCCCAGUUCCUGGUUCCUUACGCUGUCAAGAUAGAGUCUGGUGACUCGACCUGUACUGCUGUUGCAGACAAUACUUUCCCAAUCACAACAGUGGGCGUCAGCUUUUAUCCAGGAGGGAAGGGAAGUGCCAUUGGGAUAGUUAAGAGAAUCUUUGAGGUGCAACAGAGCGAUCCUCUCUUCCUCCAAGCAACCAAGAGGCAGCCAUCCUUGCAGCGAAACCGUUAUCACUAACACCGUGAACACCUGAAGGAACAGCCCCAUCUUAAUAUAUAUCAACUAUUACAAUAUUAAUUGUUGCGAAUGGCAGCGAGGAGGUUAAGGCUUUUAUAGAGGACUUCACGGACCCAUGCCGUGCAAAAAACUGCAUGAUGGCAACGGACACUUAGCAGCCACAUAAGUAAGAAGCUUCAUUUUUUUGGUUUUUUUAAAAAAUCCACAUCAUAGUCGCAUCCUCUCUCUCUUGUUUUUUCUUAAUUUUUCAAAUGGCCGAAAUCCUAUUAAUAAUUUUUUCCAACUCAAAUUCAAGCCCUCCUGACCAAAUAUUUGUGCCUUUACUAACUCUUCAACAUUAACUAAAAAAAAUGUUCAACAUUCUAAUUUGAUGAACAUUUUCCAUUUUAAUUUUAACAAGGUUCAAUUUGAAUUUUUUUCCUACUGAACACAAAAUUUUUAAUAUAGUUCUCCUAUGAACACUAUUUUUUUUAGUUUUAACAAACUAAAAGGUUGUUUGAAAAUAAAUCUGAAAUCGUGUUUUUUUUUAAUAAUUUUUUUGUUUAAAAUAAAUUUUUUAUGUUUUUUUUAUUGUUCUGUUAUGAUAUGUUAAUGUUAAAAAUAAUUUUAAAAAAAUAUUUUGAAAACAACUUUUUUAUUUUAUUUUAAUACAUAAUUCACAAUAUCUGAAUUGAUUCAUUUAACAUUUAUCUUUAAUAUAUAUAAUCUCUUUGUUUUUUUUUAUAAUACUCUUAAUCUGAAUAUCUUCUAGGAAAAAAAAGCAUGAUGGCAAUAGUCCAACGGACCCAACUCCUGGAAAAAAUGCAUGAUGACAUCAUCCAACGGACCCAUCUCGUGGAAAAAAAAGAAGAAGCAGGAUGCCAUAGGACGGCAGUGUCCUCUUCAUCACAUUUGUUUUCAUUUUGAUACUAACCUAUUUGUUUUAUGUUUGAAAAGUAUUUAAAAAAAUAAUUUUUUAUUUUAAAUAAUUUUUUUAGUAUUUUCAGAUUAUUUUAAUAUGUUGAUGUCAAAAAUAAUUUAAAAAAAUAAAAAAAUAUUAUUUUAAUACAUUUCCAAACGAAAAAUACUUUAAAAACCAUCGAUUACCACACUUCAAACACCCCUUAAAUGUUGCUCGAGUUGAUUUUUUUUCCUUGUCAAGACUUUACUAUUCAUCCUUUUGUAUAUUAUUAUAGAUGAACUAUUUAAAAAUUUAUGUUUUUUAAUUUGUUCCUCAAUUUUUUUUUAAUAAUUUAGUUCUAAUUAAACUCUAGUUGUUCUAAUUUCUUUUGAAAAGAUAGGAUUACAAUAAGAGGGACUGAAAUAAAAAAAAAAAACACCAAAUAUGAGUGUAAUGCCAUAAGUUUUGUAAAGGAUGCAUUUUGAUUUUUAAACUUUAAAAAUCACAUGAAUCAUAUAAUUUCAGUAUCUUAAUAUCUUUUCAAUUUAAUUUUAAUACAAAAAUUUAUUUUUAUUAAUUUUUAAUUUCUAGUUAAGAAAAAAGAGAGAAAUCAUCAAAUUCUAACGGGCCCAACUCUUGUUAAAAAUGAAGAAGAAAAAAGCAUGAUCACAAUCCCUUUCGUUUUCGUUUUGAUAUUAUUGAUUUUAAUUUUUUUAACUUGAGUUUAGAGAAAAACUAAAUGAGAAUUUACCCGUUAAACUUGAAUGAUCAAAUCAGUUAAUCCGUAAAUAGUUCAACUUAGUCAAAACAUGGUUUUACUUUUUUUAACUAUGCAAUAUUUUGAACUUUUUUUAAAAAAUAAUUUCUUAAAAUGAUAUAAUUUUAAAUUAACACUGAUCAACAUGAACUAACCUGCAUAAUUUAUUACCUAAACCCUGAUCACUCAUGCCUAACCAUAGAUUGUUCUAUUUUCUUUAGUUUUGAUGAACAUGACAUUAAUUUAAUAACUUUAGUUUUGAUGAACAUGACAUUCUUAUGAAAAAUGUCGCGCGCACGUGUGAGUGGGAAAAACGCGUUUGUUCUAUUUUCUUUACUUUGACUAUAGUCUUCCCUGACAUUAUUAUUGUCACAAAGUGGGCAUAUUUCUUCUGUUAUCUUUCAAGAUUUGAAUUGAAAACGAGGGACGUAAUUAUACAUUAGUUGAAAUUUUAUGAUGUACAUUAAUUAAUCCUUUUAAAUUGAAGUCAAGUUAUUAAUUAAUUAAUUCCUAUAGAUUUUCAAUCCUCAAACCAAUUUCAAACAAAUCACUUCAAGUGAUUCAUCGUAGUUCAUGAUCAAUUCCUUAAAUCCUAUAAAUAAGAUUGAUCGAUCAAAUUUUAUAAUUAAUAAUAAUAAAUGAGUAGCAUGCUAAUAAAUAUUUGUGGAAGUGAACUGUUUUUUAUUGAAAAAAGAAUAAUUAAGCGAUCCUCUUCUUUUUAUAUAAUAAUAUAAUAACAACCGUAGUUUAAAUUAUCUCGAAAGGCAUGAUUUUUCACAUGUAAUUUCCAUCAAAUUCAAAAGGCAUGAUUUUCCACACGUAAUUUCAAUAAUAAUAAAAAAAAACAGUUGCAAGUCUUUAUAUUUAUCAUCAUCAUCAUAAAAAAAAAACAGACCCAUCUCACACUGCACAUUUUUGUCCAUCUUACUUCUUUAAUUGUGGAUUCAAUCAAUAUUAUUAAAAUCAAGUUCAACAUCAAAUUAUUUUUAAUAUUAACACAUUAAAAUAUAAAAAAGUUAAAAAUUAAAUUUUAUUCUAUUUUUAUUUGGAACGCAGCACUAACCAGUUAUUAAAAUCUAGUUUAGCUAGAGAGGAUGUGAUUAAAUUAAUUAUUUCGCUAAAUGUGGUCGAUUAUAUUCUUAUCCAUCACUUUGAUUAUUUUUCACUUUCUUCACUCUUUCUAUGAUUCAAAAGUUACUUAUUCAAAAAAAAAAAAAAUUUAAUUGUGGAAUGGUAUGGUAGUUGGAUCUAUUUGUUUUUUUUUUUUGUGUGGUUAAAUUAAUUAUUUCCAUAAAUAUUUGGGGGAAAAUAAAAUUAAUUAUUGCUAGAGAGGCACUGGAGCCUUUGAUAUUUUGCAAAGGCAUGGAAUUCGAUGCCAAGGGAAUGUAAGAUAGUUGUUGACUGCUGGCGUCAACGUGAUAAAGCAAUUAAUUAUAGUGAAAAUCAAAUAGUUAACAACGACAAGCUGAAUUCAAGUUAGAUUUAAAGUUGGAUAAUAAUUGAAGUAUUUUUAUUUGAAAAUAAAUUAAAAUAAUAUAUUUUUUAUUUUUUAAAAAAAAUACUUUUAAUAUCAUUAUAUUAAAAAAUUCAAUAAAUAUAUAUAUAAAUAAUUUUAAAUAAAAAAAUCAAAUUUUAUCUGAUUUUUAUUUGAAAAACAAUACCAUCUAGGGCAUAUCCAGGAAAAGUCUAUCAAGAAACAAAGAUAUUCGAAGAAUGACUGAAAAUAAAUCAAACCAAAGCCAUGGAAUUAGAAACCAAAAGAUGGACCAAAUUUGUCUCUAUAGUGAGCCAUCAAAGUGGUGGGGCAAAAACUUGAUGGGGAGAUAAUUAUUUAUUCAUCAAAACAAUUAUUUAUUCUGGAGGAAAACCCAAACUCAAUUUCAUUUGAUCAAAGUCAUACCAUCAAAGAAAACAAGAAAAAGGUAUUUAAUUAAUAUAAUAAUAAAAAAAUUUAAUUGUGGAAUGGUAUGGUAGUUGGAUCUAUUUGUUUUUUUUUUUUUUGUGUGGUUAAAUUAAUUAUUUCCAUAAAUAUUUGGGGGAAAAUAAAAUUAAUUAUUGCUAGAGAGGCACUGGAGCCUUUGAUAUUUUGCAAAGGCAUGGAAUUCGAUGCCAAGGGAAUGUAAGAUAGUUGUUGACUGCUGGCGUCAACGUGAUAAAACAAUUAAUUAUAGUGAAAGUGAAAUAGUUAACAACGAUAAGCUGAAUUCAAUUUAGAUUUGAAAAUUCUCAGAAACUUUACUAUUUUUCGCAAUGUAUGAAUAAUGAAAAUUCAGAAACUCUCCUUGCUGCAGGAAAUAGCCCUUGUUGUUGAAUUUGAAUCUAUGAAAAUAAUUCUGAAUUUUCACUAUAAUUUUCAUUAUAGUGAAAAUGAUGCAGCAAUAAAAUAUACCCACAGAACAGUAGGCUAGCCGAGUCAAAAGGAGGGUUGCCUCAUCUUAAUGAUAUUUAAUGUUGGAUAACGAUUAUUUUUUAAAAAAUUUUAUUUAAAAAUAUAUUAAAAUAAUAUUUUUUUUAUUUUUAAAAAAUAUUUUGACAUAACACAUUAAAAAAUACAAAAACAUUAUUCACUAUUGUUUUUUUUUUUUUUUUGAACUGCCUUGUCUCUCUUUCUAUUUUGUCUCCCAUCUGUUAGGCCUUCAAGAUUCAAAAUACAUAGCAAUUUAUGUUAGGAAUAUUGAUGAAAAAUAAAAUAUAACCAGAAAACAAAUACAAAAACAAAAAUUAUUUUUUAAAGUAUUUUUUACUUAAAAAUAUAUUAAAAUAAUAUACUUUUUAUUUUUUAAAAAAUAUUUUUUAUAUCAGUACAUUAAAAAUUUAAAAAUAUAAAAAAUUAAUUUUAAAUAAAAAAAUAAAAUUUUAUCCAAUUUUUAUUUGGAAUACAGUAUCAACGAAAAAAUCUAUCAAGAAACAAAGAUAUUCGAAGAAUGACAAAAAAUAAAUCAAACCAAAGCCAUGGAAUUAAAACCAAAAGAUGGACCAAAUUUGUCUCUAAAGUGAGCCAUCUUAGUGAUAAUUAUUUAUUUACCAAAACAAUUAUUUAUUCUAGAGGAAAACCCAAACUCAAUUUCAUUCGAUCAAAGUCACAACAUCAAAGAAAACAAGAAAAAGGUAUUUAAUUGAUAUAAUAAAAAAAAAAGUUGGUAUACUAAUAUAAAAAUAAUAAAAAUCUACUAAAAUGAGUGGAUUCAAAUAGAUCUGAAUAUUCAUAUACCUUAUCUUCUAAGUAAGAAGAAAUAAUAAAAAUAGGUGACGUUCUUUUCUCCGGUUGUAAAUGGAUGGAGACAUCAAUACCAAAAACAUGGACAAUUUCUUUUUUCAAUUUGAAUACUUAUUUUCACAAAAUCUUAUCAAUAAAAUAUCUUCACUAGUUCUAUUAUUAGAAUGAUGAUGUCACAAUUAACUUUUUUUUAGAUGAGUUUGGAUUGAUUUUAUUUUAUUUUUAAUUUCUGAAUAAUAAGGAUAUAUAAAAAAUAUUUAUACUUUAUAUCUUCUUUUAUUCAAGUACUCUUUCUAUUUAAGUACUUGAUAAACUAGUGUCUGUCCAUAAAUUUGUUUACUUUGAUUUCUCUAAUAAAUGUAAGGUUUACAUAUAGUAACUAUGGAAUAAUAAGAAUAUUAACAAUAAAAUUUAUUUAUAAAUAAAUCAUUGAUUUAAUUUCUUUGAAUUUUAAAUUUGGUGUGAAUAAAGUCAAGGGAUUUCCAAGAUAAAUAGUAUUUCAAAAAAUUGAGAAUCUCCCACUCUUCACUUUGUCUAUAGUUUUACCUAUAUUAUGGUCACAAAUUAGGGAUAGUUAAACUAGUGAUAUUUCUCGCACGCUCUUAAAAUUAUAGUUUUUUUAAUUUGUUCCUCAAUUUGUUUUUGAUAAUUUAGUUCUAAUUAAAGACCAAUUAAUUUUGAUUUAUUAUGAAAAGAUAGGAUUGAAUGAAGAGGGACCGAAAUGAAAAAGGCACCAAACAUGGGUCUCAUGCCAUAAGUUUCGCAAAUGAUGCAUUUUGGUUCUUAAACUUUGAAAAUCACGCAAAUCAUAUAAUUUCAGUAUUUCAAUAUUUUUCCAAUUUAAUUUUGAUACAAAAGUUUAUUUUUGUUAUUUUUUAAUUCCUAGUUAAGAGAAGGGAGAGAGAGGUCAAUAAAUUCAGGUGAUAGAGAGAGAAAAAUGUUAUUGAUAUCGAUUGAGAUCACCAAAAUGGACGAUAUUUGUGUGAAAUGACUUUAUUUAAUGAUGAAAGCUCAUAUUAAGUAUUUUUUUUACCUUUAAAGUUUGUGGAAAAAAAGAUUUGAUUUUGUAGUUGAUUUUUACCUUAAAAGAAACAUGAUAAGAUUUUUUUUUUUUUUUAACACUACUAAUCACUUCUUUAAAUAUACGUUAUUGUUGAUGUAUGAGAAUUUAAGUGAAAAGAAUUUUAGGAUUUCUAGAAAAUUGAAUUCUCUCAAAUUUUGUUAUAUUUUCUGUUUUUAUUUUUAUUAAUUUGGAUUUUCUUUCUUACUUUAUAAUAUUUUUUGGAUGAGAAUGAAAUAUUUUAUAUAAACUUUAAAAACAACACUGAUAUAUAUAUAUAUUCUGUGUUACUAUUACUUAUAUAAAUGGAUGAAGCAUGAAAAUUAUAGAAGGCGAUUGUCACAAACUAAACUCUGAAGAUGAAAUUGAAAAAUCUCAAGGAGCAAACUAAAAAUUUAACAAAAUCUUAAAUUAUAGCAUAUUAUCCCUUCUCAAGAAAUUAAAUAUGGCUGAAAACAAAUACAAAAAAAAAAAAAUUAUAGCAUAUUAUCCCUUCUGAAGCUUACGGGCAAUAUGGUCUCAUGGACUCUUAUCAUCCCUUUGAAGAAACUCCUGAUAGCAAUGGUCUCACGGACUCCUCACAUCGCACUUUGAUUAUUCUUCACUUUCUCGACUCUUCCUGUGUUUCACUACUUGAUGAUUCAAGAGUUAUUCAUUUGAAAAAACAAUUAAUUGUGGAGUCGUAUGGUAGCUGCAUCUAUUUGUUUUUUUAUUUUUUGUGAUUAAAUUAAUUAUUUCGAUAAAUGACACAUGUAUUGAGGGAAAAUAAAAUUAAUUAUUGCUAGAGAGGCACUGGAGCCUUUGAUAUUUUGCAAAGGCAUGGAAAAUUCGAUGCCAAGGGAAUGUAAGAUAGUUGUUAGACUGCUGGCGUCAAGGUGAUAAAGCAAUUAAUUAUAGUUAGCAACGACAAGCUGAAUUCAAGUUAGAUUUAAAGUUGGAUAAUAGCUAUUUGUUGAAGUAUUUUUAUUUGAAAAUAAAAUAAUAUAAUAUAUUUUUUAUUUUUUUAAAAAAAUACUUUUAAUAUCAGUAUAUUAAAAAAUUCAAAAAAUAUAUAUAAAAAUAAUUUUAAAUAAAAAAAUCAAACUUUUUCUAAUUUUUAUUUGAAACACAGUACCAACCAAGGUAUAUCCAGGAAAAGUCUAACAAGAAAUGAAGAUAUUCGGAUAAUGAUUGAAAAUAAAUCAAACCAAAGCCGUGAAAUUAGAAACCCAAAGAUGGACCAAAUUUGUCUUUACAGUGAGCCAUCUUAGUGGUGGGGCAAAAACUUGAUGGAGAAAUAAUUAUUUAUUCAUCAAAACAAUAUUUAUUUAUUUUGGAGGGAAACCCAAACUCAAUUUCAUUUGAUUAACGUCACACCAUCAGAGAAAACAAGAAAAAAGUAUUUAAUUGAUAUAAUAAAAAACAAAUUUGGUAUACUAAUAUAAGAAAAAUAAAAAUCUACUAAACUGGAUGACACUCAAACAGCUCUGAAUAUUUGCAUUCCUUAUCUUAUAAGCAAGAAGAGACAAUAAAAAAAAGUGACGUUUCUUUUCUCCCGUUGUAAAUAGAUGGAGACAUCAAUACCAAAAUAAACAUGAAUUAGUUAGAAUAAUUAUAACUAACUAAUAUAAUAGGUUUUAAUAUUUACUUUUAAUAUAUAUAAAAUGAAAGAUAUUAAGAGUUGAUUAAUGUGUUUAAGCUAUAUAUGUUUAAAUAUUUGCAAUAUGUACAUAUUCUAAUUUAAUAUUAGUAAUUAUAAAGUUUAUUUAGUUAAUAAAAACUCCUUCAUUUUUGUUUUCUCAUCUCUUACUAUUGUUCUUUCUUUUCUUUUGAAUUGUCUUGUCUCUUUAUUUUUUGUUUCCCAUCUCUCAAUCCUUCAAGAUUCAAAAUACAUAGCAAUUUAUGUUAGGAAUAUUGAUAAAAAAAAUAAAUAUAAUCAGAAAACAAAUACAAAAAAAAAUGAUAUUGGAGAAAGAGAGUAUCUAAUUCUAGUAAAGCAUUUAAAUUUCCAUUGAAAGAUGCGUCAUAUAUUAAUAUAAGGUCCAUUUUCCAUUAACUAAUCUGCGGUUGCAUUCUAACGCUUGAGAUUUAUUUUUUUUACUUAAGCAUUUAAUUCUUUUUUAUACACUAAAUUGAAAUUAAAGCAUAUUACCCCUGCUCAAGCUUAUGGGGUCUCAACUCUCAUGAACCCGUCUCGUAGAUAAAACAAAAAACGCUUGAUAGCAAUUGUCUCAUGGACCAUCCCACUGGUCUCUAUCGUGGAAAAAAAAUACAGAUGAUAAUGAUCUUACAGACCAUCCCACUAACCCACAUCUUUCUUUCUCUUUUGUCUCUCAUUAUACUUAUAAAACCUAUUCAAGUCGUAGACUGAGUGAUUUAGUUUAAAAUAAUAUUAUUUUAAGAUAUAUAUUUUUUUAAAAUUAUAACAAAAUCAUUUUAAAAAAUAUUUGAAUAGUCAAAUCUAGUUUCACUUGGAUUUUAACUAGACAAUAUGUUGACCUAAUAGAUUAAUAUAGUUUAAUCGGGUCAACUUUUAUAUAGUUUAAUAAAACCUAGUUUGAAAGUAAAAUACUAAAUUCUUCAUACCAUCAAGUUGACCCGUUAAGAUAAACCGGAUUUAAUAACACCUCUCCCGGCUCUCAAUCCAGUGAACACAAAUGAAAAAAAGCUUUACGUACAGAUGUUUGGGUUUGUUUAGAGAUUCAUUAUAGCAAAUAGGCUCAAAAGGUUGGAUAUGUUAUUACUUUCUCCCCCUGUCUUGUAUAUAGUGUCCUCUGUUUUUAUUUUAUGCUAGAUAGCCUCUAAUUUUGGCUCUACCACCUUUCUAUAAUAAUACUCGACUAUUAUAAAAAGAAGAAGAAGCAGAAGCAGAAAUAACUUAGCGCGUUUGUGUAUAGAUAGUUUCCUUGAAUGAAGCAUGUACAUGUCUGAUGAGCAGAAAGACAAAAAAUGGUAAAUGAGGACAGCAUUGCAUCACCACCAUGGCAAACUCGGCAUGACCGAGGAGUGCAGCAAUGUGCAAAGGAGUGUUUGAUGUGCUAAGGAUAUAUAGCCAAGUAAUUGUUUCUUUUUUGAGACUAAGAGUCAGUGUGUAGCGGAAUUAGCCUUCGUUCUCUCCUUCUGGUCAAUCGUCUUGGAGAGCCUAUGAUCUUGCCUUGAUCAAGACUCCUAUCUUAGUUAUUCAACAAAUAUGAAGAAAUUUUCCAAAAUCAUUUCUUGACAAAACAUCUCACGCAUCCCUCAGCCCUUGUCAAAUCCUCCAUCCCCUUAUGCCCUUGCACAGACUUGCCCCCGGGGUAAAUUCUAAAACUCGGGGCAUCUUUUAUAUGGAAUAUGCAAUUUCCAAAAGGUCUGAGGAAUCGAACAAAGAGGGAAAUGAUUGGGCAUCAGUCUUGAAACCACAAUGAUCCGAUGGACGAGAGCCGCUAGUGGAGAAGGAUUCAUGCAUCUCUGUUUUUGUGUAUUCCUCAUGCUCUUUUUCACUGUACAACAGAACUUUUGCCUCUUCAGUUUUUCCUUUUAGACUCUCUUCAAUCAAUGGAAAGAUGAAACACCACAGAAAGGUGUAAACUGACAAGAAAUUCAAUGCUCACACUUUGAAUUUUAAUUUGCAUGUUUCAGGUCAUUGAUAGCUAUACAUUAAAAUUACAGAGUAAAAUAUCAUUUAUCAAGAUUGUCUUGUUCGUUAUUGAUGAUGAUUAGUGAUUCGAAAUGGAUGCUGGAAAUUGGAACAAAGUGUUUGUGUAAUUUGCUACCGCUUUGGGGGACUUGAUUUUCUUUUCUUUGAGUUAUGUCGUGAAUUCAAGUUACGCAGGAUUUAAGAAUUCUUCAAGACAUAGAACCAUCUUAAUUGGGGAUCGAAAACUUGAUGGACGAGUUGUUAGAUAGGUUGUGAGAACAUCAAGGCCCAAAGAAGAAGAGGAAUUCUUUAUGGGGCACAGUCACAGGCAUAUCUAGAGAAGAUACAGAGUUGAGUUGAAACUUGUUAAUUGAUCUUAAAAAGAUACAGAGCCCCUGACUUAAGGCAAAGACAAAUAUUUUAGAGAAGGUGGUGCUCAAGGGUUUUAAGGGAGUUUUCUCCGGAAAACAAAAGUCCAUAAACAACUUUUCCAAGGAACUUAAAUUCUCAAUUAAUUAAUUAAUUAUAAUUUGGGUUAACUUUCACACUAUUUAAGUUUUUUUUUAAUAAAAAAAUAUUACUAACAUCUAUAUAUAUAUUUUUUAGAUUGAAAACAUGACUUGUAGCGUAGCGUGGCUACAAAUCUAUUAUUUUCACUAUUAGAGACAAGUACUAACUUGUUAAAUCUUUUAAAAUACACUAGAUGGAGUAGAAGUUCUAGAUGGAGUAAAGUUGUUAAAAUAAGAAAUUUACUUUGGAUUAAUAUACAAUCUAACCAAUUGAUACAAUAGAUUAUAAUAAAUUUAGAGUAGAAGUUCUAAAUAAGAUGACUGUAAAUUAGCGGCACAAGUCGUUCUUCCAAUACGCCACUUCCCUUCAACCAAGGAUAUUCAUUAACUUAAUUAUUAUAAUUCAAAGUAGAUUGUUUCCUUCCAAACAUGUUCUUGCUUAUCAUCCUUUAUCAAUUUUAUGCCAACAUAUUAGUUUUUUGUUUUUUAUGAUCACUUAAUACCUUCAAAUUAGUUUUCAAGUUUUGAGAUUAAGUUCAUGGAUCUAUUCUUACCACGAGAUUAAAAAUGAUUUUAUAUUUAAUUAAAUAAAUAAAUAAAUUAGUAAUAUAGAUAUGAUAUUCUUUCUUAUCCAAUUACCACAACAGAACGACCUAGCGUUACCAUGUUGAAACAAUGCCUACCCAAAUAACUCAAGCCCAAACAAUGACAUGAAUUGGGUAAGCAAUGCCUCCUUUCUUUUUUAUAACAAAUACUACUGGGCUUCAGAUAAAACGCUUCAGAUAAAACAAGAAGAAGAUAAAAUCUUUAUAAGCUAAGAUAAAUUGAUAAAGGAGAUUCUCAAUAAGUUAAAAAUGGAGGAUUGUUAAUCUUUAUAAGCUAAGAUAAAUUUCUAAAGGAGAUUCUCAAUAAGUUCAAAAUGGAGGAUUGUACAAAAAUAAAUACUCUAGUUGAGUGUGGAGUGAAGAUGUCAAACAAUUGUCGCACCCGACAUCGCGGCGGCCUUAAAAAUAACAUCAAUGGAAAGAACAAAUUUCUGGCAUCUUGUUCUUUUAGGAGAAAAGGUCUUGUUUAAGGAGUCGCCACCUAGUAUUAUGGUCACUAGAAACCGUAACUAGUUAACAGAGAUUCUAUGGUUCGGGACUGGUUACGUAAAAGGAAAGAUAUUAUCAUCCCUUAAACGUCUUGCCUGAGGCAGACUGCAUUGCUGAUUUUGUUUUAAAUUGCCAAACGUUUAUUAGUUUAUGCUAUGAUAAUUUGCUUAUAAUAUUCCCGACUCUGGCGCCAGUGAAUAUUCAACUACGGAUACUUCCAACUCUGACGUUGGUAAAUAUUAUGUAGCUAUAAAAUAAAUUAGAUCAAUAUUUUUAUACCUGACUGUAGCAUAAGUGAAUAGACAAAUAAAAUAAAUUUAUUUUUACACAUACACAUAUUUUUUAUUUUUAAUGUAGCUAAAUAAAAAUAAAAUACAAUUAAAUUAGUAGUUUUGUUCAUGACUCUAGUGUCAAUCAAUAAACAAAUAAAAUAAAUUUAUAUUAUUUUUAUUCAUGCAUACAUAUUUUUUUAAUUUUUAAUUUUUAUUAUUAUUUUUUGGACCGGGUCCAGCUCAGUCCAUGUGGCUGGGCUGGACCCAGCAAGCUUAGCCGGGUCACAGGCUUGACCUGGCUGGCCAUUGCUUUUUAGUUUUUACCAGCAAGCGUGCGUGAACUGCUCACGCACGCCUGCUACAGGAGCAUGUAAUUAAAAUGCAAGGAGGGAAAGCGCAACUUACCUGGCGCUGCACUUGAAGAUGAGGAUGACGGUGAUGGAGGGCCGGCCGGCUGAUGCUAUUUUCUCCUCCUCUGUUUUCCUCUUGGUGUUCCUCUAGUCUUCCUUCUCUCUGCCCUCUUUUUCUUUACUUUUAUGGGUUCCUUCCUCUUCUCUGAUCUCUCUCUCUCUCUACUGUGUUUGCUCUGUUUUUGUUUUUUUUUUUUUUUGUGUCACCUGUGUUUGUUCCUUUUCUUCCCUUGGUUUCUUGGUUCUCUCUCUCUCUCCUGCGUCCUCGGUUUUCUUUUUUUAUGCUUCCCCCCAGUUUUUCCCCCUAUUUGCGUCUUCGUCCUCCUGUGCUCCCUUCGUGUUCUAGGUUCUCUCCCCUCGGUUCUGCCCUUUUUUUUCCCCUCGGUUCUGCCCUCCCCCCCCCUCGUCUGUGAAUUUUUGCUCUGAAGACGAAGGCGAAGCUGGGGUACGCUGGCUUUUUCUCUGGUUUUUCUUCCCCUGUUUCUGUUUCGUUUUUGCUUCUCUCUCUAUCCUACCGGUUCACUUCCUCCCGGCCUCUCUGUUCUUAUCUGGCUUUAUAGCCAAAGAAUGCCAAGCAUCCCUACGAUUGAAACGGCUUCAAGCCUUUAAUCCAGAACCGGUUCCUGAUGAAUAGCUUCUAAAACGAUUGAAACGGCUUCAAGCUUUUAAUCCAGAACCGGUUCCUGAUGAAUAGCUUCUAAAACGAUUGAAACGGCUUCAAGCUUUUACUCCAGAAACAGUUCCUGAGGAAGAAGGCGAAGACGCCGUUUGUGUGAUGGGAAUAGCCAUUUUUAAUCUGGUCAUAGAAGUUCUGAAAUCGUGUAAUCAAGCCCCUGGGUAAAUUGUAAUUGGACCCCUGUAUUUCGGCGUCUUUUACAAGCUAGUCCUUGAACUUUAACCUGUUGCAAUUUUGCCCCCAAUUAACCCCAAACUUUGAUAUUUAAUUAAGUCCCUGAUUUUAUUAAUUAAAUUAAUUUCAAGUUCAAAUAAGUCUCAAAACUUAUCAAUUCUCCAAUUAAGUCCUUGAUUUGAUUAAUUAAAUUAAUUCCAAGCUCAAUUAAGUCUCAAAACUUAUCAAUUAUCCAAUUAAAUCCUUGAUUUGAUUAAUUAAACUAGUCAAGAGUUUAAUUAAAUCUCUAAACUUCCAAUCAUGUUGCCCUUAAUCCAAAUUUAUUUUUAAUUUCAUUCUUUAUUUGUUUUUUCAUCAUCAUUUUUCAUUUUUUUAUUAUCAUUUCUCAAUAAAUAAUAAUAAUAAUAAACAUAAAAAGGGUCAAAAAUUGGGUUAUGACAACAAUGAUUAAGGGGAAAAGAUAAACUCUACAACAUUAAUCAAAAGCCUAGUUGAGAGUUUGAAAUAUUUAACAUGCAUUCAUCUGGAUAUUCUUUUUGGAGUAGGACUUGUGAGUAGGUUUAUGGAAACACCAACUAUGACUCACUUCAAAGCUUUGAAGCGAAUUCUUCGGUAUAUAAAAUGUACUAUUGAUUUUGGAUUAUUUUAUGGAUAUUUUAAUAGUUUUGAUCUUGUGGGCUAUAGUGAUAGUUAUUGAGUUAGAGAUAUGAAUGAUAAAAAGAGUGCUAUGAGUUUUGUUUUCUACAUUGGAGACACAUCAUUCACAUGGAAUUCAAGUAAGCAAUCUAUAGUCACUUUGUUAAUAUGUGAAGCUGAAUAUGUAGUUAAUACAUCAUGUGUUUAUCAUUUCAUAUUGCUAAGACGAUUAUUGAAAGAAUUGUGAAUGCCACAAGAGAAGCUUUUAUAUGAACAACUGUCAAAACCUCUAAACCACAUCAACCACGAAGCAGUUUACCUCAAGUAAGGUGCGCUAGGGAUGCUAAUACCUUCUCUAACCACAACCAGUCUCUUACCCUCGAAUCUCUGACAAGACCAUUACACCCGAGUUUCCUAGCAACCCUGAAUCAAACAACUAGCUAGGUGGCGACUCCUAAUUGACCCCCCGAUGUUGCGCGUCCAUGUGUGACACUAGGGAAGAAGUAGAUGUUGAUGAGGUCAAGUUAAUCACUGUUCUUGCAGUUAAGGCUGGUGAAGUUAUAGCAAUUGAUGGAGUUGUUGUUGAUGGUAACUGUGAAGUGGAUGAGAAAACUUUAACUGGAGGUUCAUUUCCGGUUGCCAAACAAGUGGAUUCCGUAGUGUGGGUUGGAACUAUUAACUUCAAUGGUGACAUCAAUACUUCUCUCUGACACUCUAUGAAUUGUUUUUGAAUGCAUUUUGGCUUUGGUGGUAAUGGGGUGUUAGAACUACUGCUUUAGCUGAAGACUGUGUGGCGGCUAAAAUGGCAAAGCUUGUGGAAGAAGCUCGAAACAGCAAGUCUAAAACUCGAAGAUUCAUAGACAAAUUCGCUCAAUACUAUACUCCAGGUUAGGCAUACUGCAGUCCAAUUACUCAUCCAGUUUUAUAGGCUUUCACUGAAGUAGGGUACCGAGAACGAGUAUUUGGACAGCCCUUCACAUCAUUCUUUUAGAAUGAAUCGUCAGCUCCAUUGCUAGACAAUCCUACCUUUCAUUUUGUGGGAAAGUUUUCAUUUUAGUUCAUUGUUCAGAUUUGCAGCGGUGAUAUUCAUGCCGGCUGGCGUAGCAGUGAUUCCACUAGCAUUACGAGUUCAUAAUCGUGAUCACUGGUUUUACUUAGCACUGGUUGUUCUAGUCAGUGCAUGUCUAUGUGCUCUUAUCCUGUCUACACCAGUUGCAACUUUUUGUGCACUAACAAGGGCAGCAACAGCUGGUCUUCUAAUCAAAGGGAGGGUACUAUCUUGAAACACUAGGCAAGAUUAAGGCAAUGGCUUUCGACAAAACCGGUACCUUAACAAGAGGUGAAUUUGUUGUCACAGAUUUCCACCAUCUCUGCGAUGACAUCAGCUUAUAGACAUUGCUUUAUUGGUAGAGUAGGUCUAUAAUUCUUCUAUUAUGGCGAACUUUACUCUUCACUGGCAAGUAAUGUUUAUGCAAGUUUCUAAGGGUAUCAAGCAUCGAGAGUAAAUCAAGUCAUCCAAUGGCAGCUGCGCUAGUCGACUAUGGAAGGUGGCAUUCAGUGAAACCAAAGCCUGAGGAUCUAGAGGAAUUUCAAAAGUUUCCUGGAGAAGGAAUCCAAGGAAAAAAUGAAGUGAAAAAUAUAUGUAUUGAUAACAGAAAGAUUGCUCACAGAGCUUCCGGAACAGGUGAAAAGCCCUAAUUAUAUCCUAGUAAGAAUAAACAAUAUGAUUCACAUUUCAAACUAACCAUCUAUAAAAUAACUUUCAUCUUGAAAGUUUUUGGCAGUCUUAUAAAAUAACCAUGAUUUCUAUCGAUUUGUAAUCUGAUAUGUAAAUCAAUCGGUUCCCUUAAACCUUAAACUAACAAUAUAUGAUGUGUCAUAAUUUAACUUUUUAUUUUUUUCAAAAAUAAAUAAAAAUAAAAAAAAUAAUUUAAAAAUUGAAUCAAGAUAACAUAAAUUAAGAAUUAAGGAUUAAUAAUGAUGAGAUUAUAAAUUUAAAAGUUAAUUUGAUCAAAACAUGAAAGAAUUGAUAAGUUUGAGGACUUCAGUAAACUUUAAAUUAGUUUAAAUAAUAAAAUCUAUAGUUUAUUUGAAAAAAAUCAAAUUUCAGGAUUAAUAUGGGUUAAAAUUAUAAAAAAUUAAAGUUAAAGAACUAAAAUAAAUAAAUGGUGAUAGCAUUAGGAGGGUUAAUUAAUUAUUCCAAAAGUAAUUUUAAAAUAAUUAAAAGUUAAAUAGCUAAAUAAAUAAUGAAUUAAUUAAAUUGAAAACCAAAAAUUAUUUUUGUAAAUGGUAACAGGUUUCAAUUGCAAUUUAUCUAGGAGAAAAAUUAAAAUAGCCUUUUCAGGUGAAAACAACGCUGUUUCAAAACAAACUAUUCAUCUCCUUCAUCCCACCGAUUCAGCAGAAACGGCAGUAGAUCAUGGUCACGUCUCUAUCCAGUAUCUCUCCUCCACAAUGUGCCCCUAACAGUCCAGUAAUGGGCAUUUUUUUUUUCUCAAGCAUGACAGGACCGUGCUAAUCUCCACACUAUCCCGGGAGAGAUGAAGGGGCAUUCUCUUGCUCUAUAAAGACCACAACACACAGAGACGAAGAGGCAGGGGGGAAAAAACAGAGACAUAGAGAAGACAGAGAGACUUGUCACCUUCCUCCAGCAAAAGGGAACUUUAACUUCCCCUCACCGUAGGUUGUUGAUCCAACCAACCAAAUACAAACCCAGAGAAACCAGGACGAACAGAGAAAGGCCACAAAGAAGGGGAGAACCACAGACAGAUAAUACAAAAAAAACACAGACGAAAUGAACAAACACAGAUAAUACAGAGAGAGACCAAGAGGAACAAGAACAGAGAGAGACAGGGAACAAGAGAAAGCAAAAAAAAAAAAAGAAAAAAGAGAGAAAACAAGCAGAGAAAAGCAAGAACAGAGGUGAAGUGAACAAAAAACAGAAGUAGAGGGGAAGAAAGUAACAUUGGUUAGCCAGCCCUCCAUCACCAUCGUCUUCGUCUUUAAGUAGCAACUCCAGGUAAGUCUUUCUUUCUCUUUCCCCCGCUUUGCAGCUUCAAUUCUUAAUAAUAAUUGUAAUAAUAAUAACAAACAUGGAUUGAGGACCAUAAGGAACAGCAAACGAAAGGCCUUUUGUCAUGAUAUAUAUAUAUAUAUAUAUAUAUAUAUAUAUAUAACAGUAUGUAAGAAAUGGUUGCGGUGGCGAAUCUAGAAGGUGACAGACCAGUAACAGUGGCUGUGGAUUAUUAGAAUUCCAACAAGAAGAAUUAUAAUCUGGACUGGUUCAAAAUUAAGAGUCAAAGAUGUUAAUUACCUCAAUGUCUAGGAUUCAAAGCUUUUCAGAAUCCACACACCAAUUCAAAGAUCUAACAAACCAUCUUCAUUUGCAUCCAUACUCCCAAUAGCUCUUUCCACUCAGUAUACGAAUUUCAUACAAAACUUUAACUAUAGCAAUCUGAAAAUGGAAAUAUAUAAAGUUAAGCAUGAAAAAUGUUUCCCAAGACUUCAUUACAAGAUUGACCGGUUAAAUUUGUGAUUCAAACUGAAAAUACUUGCCCGGAUUAACCAAUGAAGAAAUUUAAUUAUUAUAUCACACAGAAGCUAAAAUGAAAAACCGAAACAUAAAUGAAAAUUAAUACAACAUCGCUUGAGCAUGCCUUAAAACUUGUUUAAAUCUUAAAACCAGAAUACACAACAAAGCACCAAGUCUUAGUACCAUCAAGGCUAUGAAAAUCCAAACUUGGAUAAAAUGGAAAGAUUCUGCACCAGAAAAUAAUAGCAAUUGUUGAUGCUCACCUCAAUAAAGUAAAACCAAGCUCGUCGCCAAUAUGGAUUUAUCUACAGAACUGCACCUAUCACUAGCAAUUGCGAGUAUUUUCUGCAUUUGAAUUUGAUUAGCUUGAUUUUAUGGUUUAUGCAAAUUGAUUUUCUUCUGAAUAGACUGUUGUGAGUGUCUGAUGCCCUGGUCUUUGAUUUUAAUUAUGGUUGGCUUUUCACGUUUUCAUUUUGAUUGAUUGUUUCUCUAUAACGUGGAUCAUUUCUGUAGGUUUCAUGGUCUUAUAUCCAGAGACCGGAGCCUGAAGAAAACUCGUCUGAGGUGUGUCAUUGUUUUUCUGAUGUUAAUAAAUUUUAGAGCCCAAAGAUUGGAAAAACUAAGAAUGAUGCAUGAUUGGACAUGCUAAAUGAGUUGUUCUGGUUUUCAUUUGUCUAUCUUGUAUAAUACGUACGGUCGAUUUUGUGUUUGAUGCCAGGCCAUCUAUCAAUGCCAACUUCUGGGCUGUAUUUUUCUCUCAUUCAUUGACAAUUGCAUGACUAGGAUUUGACCACCAUUCUUAAUAUUUUAUGCAACCUUUGGAUAAUUUUGGUGGGACUGCAUCUUUAAUUUUCUCCACACUAUAGGCUAUACAUUCUUCCUGCGUCUUCUUUCAGCGUCACAUGCAUGGAAAACAAAUAUUUUUUAUGAAGUCCCCGUGGUGUAUAAAUGUUGUUUCUUUGACACGGAAUAGACUUGUUAGGAUGUUGAUAGGGAGACCUUGUCAUGUGCUUGAAGUUGUUGAUAGGGAGACCUUGUCAUGUGCUUGAAGUGAUAUUUGUGAUUUCAGGCAAGUGCUCUUGUUUCUUAGAUGACAGAUGAGAGAUAUGCUGUUUUCCAGCAAAUUAAGCAGCUUCAGCAAGAACUAGUAAGGUGCUUAGUAUGUGAAUAUAUCAUGUAAGCUUAAUUGCUGAAAUUCUUUUAGGACAACCUUGCCUUUAGAUCAGUUGUGACUUCAAGAAAUAUUAGGUACCAAGAAAAGAAAAAUACAAAGACAAAUCCAUAUUCUGUGAUGAAUUCAGUACAGGAAGAUAAUGUAAAUUUUUUUUAUGAAGUCCUCGUAGUGUAUGAAUGUUGUUUCUUUGACACUGAAUAGACUUUUUAGGAUGUUGAUAGGGAGACCUUGUCAUGUGCCUGAAGUGAUACUGUACAGCACUUCUGGAACAUCAGAGACCAGAGGCUGAAGAAAACUCGUCUGAGGUGUGUCAUUGUUUUUCUGAUGUUAAUAAAUUUUAGAGCCCAAUGUAUGAAGAUGAUAUUUGUGAUGAAUUCAGUGCAGGAAGAUAUUCCAACCUCAAUUUCCAAACCCAAAAAAAACAUCAUCAAACCCUAACUGAAAAGCUUUUAUCUAUGAUAAAACAAUGCAAAUCGAAAAACCUACUAAAACAAAUCCACACAAAUGCUUAUAAACUCAAUACCAAAACCCAAUUUCCUUCUUUCCAAAAUCGUUGACCUCAAAGACUUGGCCUAUGCAUCCCUUGUUUUUAAUCAACUCACCAAACCCAAUAUUUAUGCCUUCAAUGUCAUGAUUCGUGGGUUAGCUACCACAUGGAAAAAGUAUGAUUUUUGUGUUGAAUUGCAUUACAAGCUGAAGUCUUUAUGCCUAAAAGCAAACAAUUUCACAUACCCUUUUUUGUUUAUAGCGUGAGGGAAUAUUUGGGGUUUGGUUCAUGGAAAUAUUGAUCAUUGUCUGGUGUUCAAGGCUGGUUUGUAUGGUGAUGAGCAUGUAAAUCAUUCUUUGACUACAAUGGACGCAAGGUGUGGUGAAAUCGGGUUUGCACGGAAGGUGUUUGAUGAAAUGGGUGAAAGAGACUUGGUGUCGUGGAAUUCGAUGAUUUCGGGGUAUUCUAAGAUGGGUUUUGCUAAAGAGGCAAUUGGGUUGUUUAUGGAAAUGAAGGAGGAGGGGUUUGAGCCAGAUGAGAUGACGUUGGUGAAUGUUCUUGGGGCGUGUGGGGAUUUGGGUUUGGGGAGAUGGGUGGAGGGGCUUGUUUUGGAGAAGAAGAUGGAGGUAAAUUCGUAUGUGGGGUCUGCCUUGAUUGUCAUGUAUGGUAAGUGUGGGGAUUUGAUAUCUGCGAGGAGGGUCUUUGAUUCAAUGCCAAACAAGGAUGUUGUCACUUGGAAUGCCAUUAUCACAUGGUAAUUAGACCGGUUUUAUACUUUGUAAUUGUCACAUAUAGUGGAAUUGUGUUUAUUUCUGUUCCUUUAAACUAACUUGAAAUUUGAAUUCUUCCUAAUUAAUCAGCUAUGAAAUAAAAACCACACAAAUAUAUGAAAUUUGUAAAUGCGUUUCAAGUUAAUAUGAUUUUUUUUGUUCAACUAUCACUUCAUAUGUGUGCACAGAAUGGAGCUUCCAAUGAAGCAAUUGUACUAUUCAUUGGAAUGAGAGAGGCAGGUCCUAAUCCAGAUAAAGUCACAAUGAUUGAAGUAUUGUCUGCAUGAUCCACAAUAGGGGCCCUUGAUUUGGGGAAAUGGGUUGAGACACAUGCAUCAGAAAUAGAUUUACACCACGAUGUCUAUGUUGCGAGUGAAUUAAUUGAUAUGUAUGCAAAAUGUGGGAGCUUGGAUGAUGCACUCAGGGUUUUUGAGAGUAUGCCUCAUAAAAAUGAGGUCUCAUGGAAUGCCAUGAUUUCUGCUCUUGCUUUCCAUGGGCGGGCCCUGGAAGCAUUAUCAUUAUUCAGACGCAUGUCAAAGGAUAAUGGCACUGUUCAGCCUAAUGACAUCACUUUCAUAGGAGUACUUUCUGCAUGCGUGCAUGCCGGAUUGGUUGAUGAGGGCAGCCAAUUGUUUGAAUCAAUGAAAAUGUAAUUUGGAUUGGUCCCAAAUGUCAAGCAUUAUUCUUGCAUGGUUGAUCUUUGUGCGCGUGCAGGACUUCCGAAUGAAGCUUGGGACUUAAUCAAGAAGAUGCCUGGUAAACGAGAUGGAAUUGUGUUGGGGUCAUUGCUUGGUGCCUGUCAGAGGCGUAGAAAUGCAGAUGUUGGUGAAAGGGUCAUUCAAUUGUUUCCAGAGAUGCAAUUAUCUCAUCUAAGAUAUAUGCAAAUAUGAGAAGGUGGGAUGAUUCUGCAAAGAUGAGGUAGUGUGGUGUCUCUAAAACCUCUGGCUGUAGCUGGAUUGACGUUGGAGCUGGUGCUCAUGAAUUUCAUGCUGGUGGCAGCUUACAUCAUCAUUCGGAGAACAUAUACCAAUUGCUGAAUGAGGAAAUGAAGAGAGAAGGUUACAUUCCAAAUAGCGGUUGCAUAUAGAGGUGGAAAAGUUGAAAACUUGGUGGCCUCUUUCAGCCAUUGAGCAGUGCAUUCGGAGGGAUUGUAUCUUCUGGUUGAUGACUGCAGCCAAAGUGUUGAAUGGCAAGUUGUGUUCUUAGGAGCUUGAGCAAGGAUCUCUAUCUUGCUGAUAGAAAUGUAUAGUUUACCCUCGCAUGAGUAUGUUUCUGUAGAAUGAAAAUGGUUGUUGGAUUGUUACAUGCAUUGGCUGUAAAAUAAUGCAAGUUCAUUGCGGAAAGAAUGCUAAAACUAUUUUUUUUUUAGAACAUAAGGAGGGAAUGCAGGGGGAAUUUUGGUGGAUUGAAAUAAAAUGCACUUGACACCUUUUAAGUUUUUAAGGGAUGCCAUAAAUCAUUUUCAAUAGUCCUCUAUGAAAAUGGUUUCCAUAAAACAAACAAGGCCAGUUUAGUUUUUUAAAGCUCCCUUUGCUUUCUUAACUUUCUCCUUGCUGUGGCAAUUGCAGCUGGAAAUAUGAUAAAGCUGAAGGACAUGCUAGUGGAAGUGGAAGAGAAGAAAUGCAUUUUGAUUUGUCAGUGUUUUAAGCAAGUGGAAGUGGAGGUAAUUAAAGAUUCUAACAAGAGACUUAACUUUAUUUUCAUAUAUUCUUUCACCGGAUAUUUGUCAUUUGUCAGUCUAAUUGGAUCUAUUAUUCUUGUAAUUCUCAUUUUCUAGUUUUUUUAGAGGAAGUUUAAUUUUUUUUUCUUUUUACCUUCAGGAGAAAGCUAAUCAUAUCAAAUACAAGGUUUUCUAGUUUUCUGUACAUCACUUUUGGAACAUAUUUUUGGAAUAAAUUUGAAUUGAUAUUUGUGUUGUAAUGUAUUCCCUUUAAUAUUAAAUAUUUUUGGAUAUUCGUGUUGUAAAUUUGAAUUGACCAUCCAUAAAUAUCAAGUAAUAAUGUAAUAUACAAGGGAAGUAAAAACUCAUGCAAUUGAAAAGCCCCCACUAUAUAAAAACCCACAAAACCAAAUGGAACUAUAUAAAUUAAUACAACAUCGCUUAAGCAUGCCUUUAAACUUGUUUAAAUCUUAAAACUAGAAUACAUAACGAUGCACCAAGUCUUGGUACUAUCAAGGCUAUGAAAACCCAAACUUUGAUAAAAUGGAAAGGUUGUCUACUAAAAAAUAAUAGCAAUUGUUGAUGCUCACCUCAAUAAAGUGAAACUAUGCUUGUCGCCAAUAUGGAUUUAUAUGCAGAAAUGCACCUAUCACCAGCAGCACCAUGAUGUAUGCAACCCAAAAGGUAACAUAGAAAACCUCCAUAUCUAUGAAGCCACCAUUAUCUUCAUUGUUUGUUGAAGUUGGUGUUUGUGAUGGUGGCAUAGCCGCACCACAUAUUUUGGGUAGCGGUUCUCCACAAAGAAAAGGGUUGUCCUUGUAGCAGCUCGCCUCAAACGUGGCAAACUGUGCAACUCUCGCAGGAGUCUUACCGGAAAAAUUAUUGUGAGCCACACUAAAAACUUCUAGAGAGAAUAGUUCAGUAAGACGAGGUGGGAUUUCUCCAUCUAGUUUAUUGUAGGAAAGAUCCAAGCUCUCUAUUUCCUUCAAGUUCCAAAAUGUUGGUGGAAUUGUGAUGCAGACCAGGUAGCAAACUCAUAUUUGGCGCGCCUAGAGCACCCAAAAAAGCAAAAGAGCUUAUCAUUGAUGAGUCAUAACAUGCAUAAUCAGGCACUUUAAGUUUCUUACGUGACAGUUGGAAUUUCCUCCUGUUUCCUUAUUUAGCUUUUAUUCUCCCAAUUAUUUUAGGACUGUUUGUUUUAGAAGACUAAGAGUUUCUUUUCGUUUCUUCCUUUAGCUUUUAUUUCCACAUUAAUUCGAGACUGUUCCCAAUUUAAUUGAGUAGUUUUAGGAGUGUAAGAGAUUCGUUUUCUCUAUUUAUUUGGUUGUAAUCGCUUUGCAAUGGGCAGUUGGAAUAAAAACAAAAACUCCUUUGAGUAGUUAACUCAAAUAUCUCUCUUUCUUCUGUUUUUCUGCGGAAUUCCAGAUCAAAGAAACCCUUGUUUGUUAGAAUGCAUGUGAGUUCCGUUCUGGUCUGCAUCAGGUUGGUAUCAGAGCCAGGUUAGUUAUCAUCGUCAUGGCACCAAAGAGACACGCAAACCUACCGAACCUUCGUGAACAACCGUUGGAUGAAGUCUAUGAGUGCGAUGAGAUUGCACGACUACAACAUCAAGUCGAGACGUGAACGCAGCAGUUGGCAGCGUUAAUGGCUCAACAUCGGGAUCCGAAUCCACAAGACGUGGAAGAAGAGUCCGAAGGUGACGAAAAUCCAUUCGCCCCUCAACCAGUGUAGAGGAGGCCAGCGAAUGAUGAAUCAAGGCAUUAGGAGUCAGGCCUUAAGGUCGACAUACUAGAGUUCCAUGGUGGUUUGCAAGCGGAUGAAUACCUCGAUUGGAUCAAUAUGGUAGAGGAAGUCUUAGAGUUUAAACAGGUUCCAGAAGACAGACGGGUAGCGCUUGUUGCAACAAAGCUUAGAGUUCGGGUUGGGGCUUGGUGGCAACAGAUAAAGAAAACAAGGACUCUACAAGGGAGAGGAAAGAUCACGUGCUGGGACAAGAUGAAAAAACACAUGCGUUCUGCGUUUCUACCAUGCAACUACACACGGACACUCUACCAACGGUUACAAAAUCUAAGACAGGAAAACCGCUAAGUUGAUGACUACACUACGGAGUUCUAUCAAUUAGUAUCGCGAGAUGCGAUUGCAGAGGAUGAGUAGUUGCGGGUUGCGCGAUAUAUUGGAGGGCUGCGGAUUCAAUUCCAAGAUGUCCUGAAUAUGUUUGAUGUGUUGAGUGUGUCAGAUGCCCACCAGAGAGCAGUGCAGUUAGAGAAACAACUAAUGCGUGGAAAUACAAGGAGUAUGAACUUUGGAGGUUCUAAUGCAAAUACAAGCAAUAACAGCGGACGAACAGGGAGUAUGAAUUUCGGGGGAACCAGUACAGGUGGUGCAAGCAGCAGUAACGCACGAACAACCAUUCCACCAUCUACUACUAUCAAGCCUACGAUGCCUGCACACACAACGACACCGAACACAGGUUUUUGUUGCUUUAACUGCGGAGAACCAGGACACAGGUUCGCAGAGUGUAAGAAAGGAGCAUGGAGAGGGUUGUUUUUGGACAUCGAAGAAAUUAGUAGGGAACAAGAUGGCGAUGUUGAGGCAGAACCAGUUUAUGAUGAGGAAGAGCAUUUAGAGGGGGAUACUGGAUCGAUGUUAAUGGUCCGACACAGUUGUUUAGCGUCACGCGAGAUAAAGGAUGAUUGGUUAUGCACUAAUGUAUUCUAGUCCACUUGCACAAUCAACAGGAAAGUCUGUCGGUUCAUCGUUGAUUCAGGUAGUUGUGAGAAUGUAGUGUCCGAUGAAGUGGUCUGUAAACUACACAUGGCAACAUAAUCACAUCCUCGACCAUAUAAAUUAACAUGGCUAGAUAAGAAGAAUGAUGUUACAGUAUCAAAAUGCAGCUUGGUAUCUUUUUCAAUCGGCACAACAUACAAAGAUCAGAUUUGGUGUGAUGUGGUCUCCAUGGACGCCUGUCAUUUAUUAUUGGGCAGACCGUGGUUAUAUGAUCGACAUGUGAUGUAUGAUGGGUUCCUGAAUACAUGCACUUUCAUAUUUAAUUCAAUCAAAGUUGUGUUGCUACCAAAGAAGGAAACUACAGGUGGUAUUCUGACAGGAGAAAAAAACAAUUUAUUGACAAUGGCUAAAUUCGAAGCAGAGAUCAGAGAAUCUGGGGUGGUUUAUGUGCUGAUCGGAAGGAUGGAAGUUGAGAAUGGCACUAUUCCAAGCAGCGUGGAGCCAUUAUUGCAGGAAUUUGGAGAUGUAUUUCCGGCUGAGCUUCCUGAGAACCUACCCCUAUUAAGGGACAUUGAACAUCAAAUUGAUCUGGUUCCAGGUGCCAACUUGCCCAACAGGCCGCAUUAUCGGAUGAGUCCAAAGGAGCAUGAAGAGUUACGGUGCCAAGUAGAGGAAUUGCUAAUAAAAGGGCAUAUUCGGGAGAGUCUUAGCCCAUGUGCGGUGCCUGCCCUUCUGACCCAAAAAAAAAAAACAUGACAUGGAGAAUGUGUGUUGACAGCAGGGCCAUCAAUAAGAUUACGGUUCGAUACAGGUUUCCGAUCCCACAGUUGGAUGACUUGCUGGAUCAGUUGAGCGGAGCCAUAAUAUUCACGAAGCUGGACUUGAAGAGCGGGUAUCACCAGAUUCGUAUCCGGCCAGGAGAUGGGUGGAAAACGGCCUUCAAAACUCGAGAAGGACUCUUUAAGUGGAUGGUCAUGCCUUUCAAACUGUCUAAUGCCCCAAGCACAUUUAUGCGGGUGAUGAAUCAAGCCCUGCGGCCCUACAUUGGUAAGAGCGUGGUGGUAUAUUUUGAUGACAUUUUAAUUUACAGCAUUGAUCCUAGGAUGCACCUACAACAUCUUCGGGAAGUUUUGGUCGUGUUACGUAAGGAACAAUUCUUUGCAGCAAAAGGAAAAUGUGUGUUCUUAACUAACCGAGUCUUGUUCUUGGGUUACAUUAUCUCUUCUGAGGGGCUUUUAGUAGACGACUAAAAAAUUAAAGCCAUCAAACAGUGGCGACAACCGUAAACCGUGACUGAUGUCCGAAGCUUUCACGGGUUGGCAUCAUUCUAUCGCCGAUUCAUUCCUCACUUCAGUGGUAUAAUGGCCCCAGUGACUGAUUGUAUAAAGAACAAUAGCAAGUUUGUGUGGACACCUGAGGCCGAAAUAGCCUUCUAAGAAAUCAAGAAACAAUUGACCACCGCCCCAGUACUUGUCCUAUCUGACUUUUCAAAUCCAUUUAAGCUACACGGUGACGCCUCAAAGCUAGGAAUCGGAGUGGUUCUAAGCCAAAAUGGCAGGCCUGUCGCCUUUUUCAGUGAGAAGCUUUCAGGAGCAAAAUUACGGUAUAACACCCAUGACGUUGAAUUUUAUGCAGUGGUUCAAGCGGUAAGACAAUGGCGACAAUAUCUAUUUCUUCAGGAGUUCGUCCUAUUUACUGACCAUGAUGCCCUCAAACAUAUGGGGAGUCAAGAUAAAAUUUCAUCCCGACAUGCAUCUUGGGCUGCGUACUUACAACAAUUCACUUUUGUCAUCAAACACAAAGCGGGUACACUGAACCGAGUGGCUAAUGCCGUCAGUCGUUGAAAAAAUCUGCUGGUUGACAUGCGAAUCAAAGUAUUGGGUUUCGACUCCUUUCAAAAUUUGUAUGCAUCUGAUUUUUUUGCUGCUGUAAUAGAGAAAAUUCAUAACAACCAACAGAGUGACUUUGUUCUCCACGAUGGAUUUGUUUUCAAAGGAACCCAACUGUGUAUACCUGAGUGUAGUCUCCGAAACAAGAUCAUACAAGAACUGCACAUAGAAGGACAUGUGGGAAGAGACUGGACUUACUUGCUGGUGGCUACGUCCUACUUCUGGCCAUCCAUACGGAAGGAGGUUGGUCAUUUUAUUGAGCGAUGUAGGGUCUGUCAUGUUGCUAAGGGAGGAGCCACCAAUGCCGGUUUGUACAUUCCACUUUCUGUUUCAGUACGACCAUGGUCCGACAUCAGCAUGGAUUUUGUUUUAGGCCUCCCGCGUACACAACAGGGAUUCGACUCCAUUUUUCAUAGUGGUAGACAGGUUUUCAAAAAUGGCCCACUUUAUACCAUGCAAGAAAACAACAGAUGCUGUUAAUGUGGCUGAAUUGUUCUUUUGAGAAAUUUAUCGGUUGCAUGGCUUGCCAGAGUCAAUCGUAUCUGAUAGGGACACUCAUUUCCUAAGCCAUUUCUGGCGGAGUCAGUGGAAGAUGGUUAAUACUCACCUGAACUUCAGCAGUGCUUAUCAUCCUUAGUUCGAUGGGCAAACCGAGGUGGUGAACCGGUCGUUAGGUAACCUCCUUCGCAAUUUGGUGGGUGAUCAGAUAAAAUCUUGGGACAAGAAACUUGGCCAGGCAGAGUUCGCUCAUAACCAUACAGUCAAUCGUAGCAGCAAGUUCAGCCCCUUUGAAAUCGUGUGUGGGUUUCUCCCACGAUGUCCACUUGACCUAGCUAAUCUCCCGAGCAACACCGCAACACCAAAGUUAAUCAUAAGGCAGAGGACUUUGUCACUCAGUUGCAGGACAUUCACAACCUUACCCGACAGAACUUGCUGGAAUCUUUUGCCAAAUUCAAACUCGACACAGACCGCAAGCGGCGUCUUGUCAAUUUUGAGGUGGGUGACUUCAUUUGGGCUAUGCUAACGAAGGAUCGUUUUCCUAUAGGCGAAUACAAUAAACUAUCAGCACAAAAGAUUGGUCCCGUGGAGAUUAUGGAGAAAAUAAAUUCCAAUGCUUACCACCUCAAGCUACCUAGUCAUAUUCGCACAGCAAAUGUAUUUAAUGUCAAGCACCUAAUUCCUUUCCACGAGGAUUUGUCAUCAGAAGAGGAAGAUUUCUUGAAUUCAUGGUCGAAUUCUUCUCAGCAUGGGGAGGAUGAUGCAGACCAGGUAGCAAACUCAUAUUUGGCGCGCCUAGAGCACCCAAAAAAGCAAAAGAGCUUGACAUUGAUGAGUCAUAACAUGCAUAAUCAGGCACUUUAAGUUUCUUACGUAACAGUUGGAAUUUCCUCCUGUUUCCUUAUUUAGCUUUGAUUCUCCCAAUUAUUUCAGGACUGUUUGUUUUAGAAGACUAAGAGUUUCUUUCCAUUUCGUCCUUUAUCUUUUAUUUCCACAUUAAUUCGGGACUGUUUGCCAAUUUAAUUGAGUAGUUUUAGGAGUCUAAGAGAUUCGUUUUCUCUAUUUAUUUGGAUGUAAUCGCUUUACGAUGGGCAGUUGGAAUAAAAACAAAAACUCCUUUGAGUAGUUAACUCAAAUAUCUCUCUUUCUUCUGUUUUUCUGCGGAAUUCCAGAUCAAAGAAACCCUUGUUUGUUAGAACGCGUGUGAGUUCCGUUCUAGUCUACAUCAAAUUGGUCCAGUCAAACUAUUGUGCGAAAGGUUCAAUGCCUUGAUCAUACUGAGGUUUCCAAUUUUAGGAGGAAUCUUCCCGGUGAAAUUGUUGCAUGAGAAAUCAAUUCUUAUGAAGUACCAGAUAUUGUCGCCUCUAUAAGAAAGGGAUACAUUCUUCGUGUAAACUCGAAGGAUUGUUGUGAUGAGGACAUAGAAUCAUGAGAAUUGUAUGAUUGUGGGAAAUGAUGAGUAGAUAUCAUCCAAGAGAGGAUGUUACCAGAAAGGUGAUUAUGAGAAAGAUCAAUCAAGGUCAAUUGGUCCAACCUGGAUAAUUGAAUUGGGAUUUCACCUUCAAGAUUGUUAUAACUCAAGAGUAGAAAUCUCAAGUUAGAUAGCCUGUCAAUCCAUUCUUGAAUUGUACCAGUUAAAUUAUUAUGGGAAAGAUCCAAUGCCAAUAUCUCAGGGUGGGUCAUAAAAUGCCAUUGUGAUCGGUCCUUGGAACUUAUUUCUAGACAAAUAAACAUAUCUCAAAUUUGAAGAAGUGUUGAAUCUAGGUGGUAAACGACCAGAGAAAUUGUUCCCUGAUAAGUCCAAGAAUUCAAGAGAAGACAUAUUUCAUAUCCAUCCAGAGAUCUGCCCUUGCAAACUGUUGUUCGAAAGUAUUCUUCCAGUCAAAAGAUUGUUGGAUAGGUCUAACUCAAACAGCGAGUAAGGAAUGCUUCCAUUGAAACCAUUAUCAGACAUCUUUAAGACUUCUAACCCUGGCAAACGAUCUCCGAUUUUUAAAGGGAUUUGGCCUUGAAAGUGAUUCAUGGAUAUCCUUAGGAAUGACAAAUUCACAUGAGAAUUCUUUGGCAACAAAAAUGGACCCGAAAGAGAACAAUUUUCUAAAUAAAGUCUUUGAAGGUAUGUGUUGUUCUCAAUCAACCAAUUUGAAAACUCUCCCUUUAUUUGGAUGUUUGCAAGAUCCAAAAAUUGCAGGCUGAACUGAUGGUAAAAGAACUUGGGUAAUGCUCCCGCAUCUUGUCCACGACCUCUCAAAUAGAGGGACUCUAACUGGAACUUUGGGCUCAGAUUAUGAUCAUCUUCUUCUGCGAAUAUUUCAUUACCUGAACUAUAAAAAGACUUGAUUUUUGAAAGGUUGUAUAAUGGGCUCAAUGACAUAGGAAUCUUGAAGUGAUUGGAAGAGAGAUAUAGUUGUUGAAGGGAAGUCAAAUUUGUCAGACACGAAGGCAAGACUCCACUAAGAUCAUUGUCACUCAUAUCUAGCUCUUGGAGAUGAUUUAAGUCACAUAGGCCUAGUUACAUUAUAAUAUAGAGAAAAUUAAAACUUUGAGUGUCUAAUGGAAAAUACAUAACCUAGAGAGAGAAUAAGAGUCAUCAACCUUACCUUGAGCUGUAGGUAUUUGGCCAUCUAGUUUGCAGCUCCCCAAAAUCAAAGUUUUGAGAGAAGUCAUUGUUUCGAUGGAUUGUAAGAUGUUGUUAUCAAGAGUAUUGGAACUCAAAUCUAAGUAUUCCAAGUUCUUGGGAUUAAGGAAGCCUGCUGCAAUCAAUUAAACAAGAAAUUAUAAUUGCGUAGAAGGAAUUAAUUAUAAAGGAAAUGAAAGAGCAAGAGUGAUCAACCUUACCUUGGGUUGUAGGUAUUUGGCCAUUUAGACUGCAAUCCUCCAAUUUCAAUAUUUUAAAAGAGGUCAUCGUUCUGAUGGUUUGGAAGAUGCUAUUAUUGAGAGUACUGUAACUCAAAUCCAAGUAUUCUAAGUUCUUGAGAUCAAGGAAGCCUAUCACGAUCAAUUAAAUAGAAAUUAUAUUAGCGUAGAAGGAAUUAAAAUUAGAAAUAACUCAUUACCUAUCAAUCAUGGCUAAAGAAACAAAAAAUAUCAGGUAAGUGUAGAAAUUGUACUGUCCAAUUAAUAGAAGGUUUUUUUUAUACGUUUGACCCAAAAAUAGAAAUACACCAUUGUUAAUUUAUUCUCCUCCUAAAAAUAACACUCUCUAUAUAUGAAGUUAUAUUGUUUUUUAUGUUAUCAUUUUAAUUACAUUACACUGAAAUGGUGUUGAGAGAGGGGCAAGAUUAAAGUGAAAUAUUAUUCAUAUUAAAUGGAUGGUAGAAUUUUAAAAUAAUAAAGAUUUCAAUUGAGUUAAUUUCUAAAUUUGAGAUUUAAUUGUCUCUCCAAGACUUGUUUAGUAGGUUGCUAAAACAUAAAAGAAGAAAUCUAUACGACACCUAAUUGUAGCAGGUAUAGAAAGAAAUAAAAUGAUCAAUGAUAAGUAAUAGUGGAGUUGAAAUUUGUUAAUUUACCUCCAGAAGGUACAGUGCUAUUAAGUUCUUGCAAUGACAGAUUUUUUAGAGAAGGCAGUGCUCGAAAGCUUUGAAGAGAGUGUUCAUCUAGAGAACAAGAGUCCAGAUACAAAUUUUUCAAAAAGCUCAAAUUUUGCAACUCUGUUUGUUCAAUAGUAGCAAAUUGAAUUUUUCAAUUAAACCCAAAUAUAUAAACAUCACUAUAUAUGUAAUAUAACUUACUAUCACCUAAUAUUCUUCCUCUAAAAUCGUAGAAUCCCAGAUAAAGUGUUGUGAGGUUUGGGAAUGCUCCUAAUGAUUGCAAUAACUGGAAGCUACUUCCAUAGGUUAUGAUAUUCUCUAGCCAUAGAGUCCUCAAGUUGCUUGGACCUGCAAGUUAGUUAUGGAAGAAACAAGAAUAAUUAAUAUUAUCUUCAUGAUGCUACCAACAGGUAGGUAAUGUGAAUGUGUUACUAAUUACCUCUUGAGGCUACCAACUUGUUAAUAUUGUUGCCGCCCAGACCCAAUUCCUCCAAGCUAGUUAGAGAUUCUUGAUAUUUAUAUAUAAAAAAAUAAAUUAAUACAAUACUCAUUAAUUGUGUUUUUGAAAUUAAAUUUAAUAGAUAAUUGUGUUAAUUAAAUUUAAUAUUUAUAAAAAUAAUAGUAUAUAAAAAAACUAACCUUUCAAAUCUAUUAACCCCUCCAGUCUAUUAUAAUCUAAAUAUAGUGAUUUAAGAAACGGAAGCCCUUCCACAAAUAAUAGAAUACUGUUAUCGAAGCUAUUAUAUUCCAAGGCAAGGAACUCCAAAUUGCUCAAUUUCUGUAACUCAUAACCACCAAUAUAAAUAAAUAAAUAAAUAAAGACUUUAGGUAUAGAAUAAAAAAGAUAUUAUUGGAGUAAUUUAAUUAUGAUUGAUUAAGAGGCAUGUAAUUGUUACAGUGAAGGUUGAGGUGGUGAAAGUGAAAAUAAAAAGAGUAAUUGUUAAAGUGACGGUCUAUGUCUAUGUCAUGAUUAUAAUAAAAUUGGCAAUUUAAUAAUAUAUGUUGUGGAAUUAAACAACACCUUGUUACUAGAUAUGAUUUCUAUUUCUUCGAUGAUGAAUUACUGUAGAGAACUAAAAUUAAUGAUAGUAAUUAAACAACACCUUAUUUGAUUAAUUCUAAAAAAAUAAAAGUAAUAUAAAUAUUUUGUAAUACUUAAGAGAGCAAACCUUUCUUCUCAACCCAACCAGCUAUGCGAUUAUUCGACAAGGAGAGAACGUUGAGUUGUUGAAAAGGAAGAAACAAGGAGGCAUUCAAGUACCAAUCUCCCAGUUCCGGAUUCCAUACGCCCCCAAGACCGAGUUCGGUGACUCGACCUGUACUGCUGUUGCACUCAAUAAGUUCCCAAGAACAACAGUUGGCGUCUGCUUUCAUCCAGGAGGGAAGGGAGGUGCCAUUGGGAUAGUUAAGAGAAUCUUUGAGCUGCAAGAGAGCGAUCCUCUCUUCCUCCAAGCAACCAAGAGGCACCCAUCCUUGCAGCGAAACCGUUAUCACUAACACCGUGAACACCUGAAGGAACAGCCCCAUCUUAUUAAUAUCAACUAUUACAAUAUUAAUUGUUGCCAAUGGCAGCGAGGAGGUUAAGGCUUUUAUAGAGGACUUCACGGACCCAUGCCGUGCAAAAAACUGCAUAGUUGUUUUAAAGAAUUCCAUAUCAUAAUGAAAACAAUAUAUCUCAGUAAUUUGUAAAAAUAUCUUAAUGAAUAAAUAUAUAUCCACUUCAUAGUCUCUCUUGUUUUUUUCUUAAUUUUUCAUUAAUUUGGCCAAUAUAUAUUAAUAAGAGAAAUCCUACUAAUACAUAUUUUUGUUUUUGCUGUGAAUAAAUUUAGAUAUCCAACGCUGUUGUUGUUGUAGUCAAUUUUUCCAUCUAAACUGCGGUAAAGGUUGAUCAUCACAAAUGUUCAUCAUUCUUUAUAGUAUUCCAUUUUAAUUUUAACAAGGUUCAAGAUGAAUCUUUACUGAUUGAUUUGAUUCCGUGUUUUUUUCCCCUACUAAACGCUAACUUUUUAGUAUAUUUUUCCUGCUGAAUACUUUUUUUUUUUUUAGUUUUAACAAACUAAAAGGUUGUUUGGGAAUAAUUUUGAAAUUAUAUUUUUUUUUAAAAUAAUUUUUUUAUUUAAAAUUAUUUUUUAAGUUUUUUUUAUCCGAUAUAUUGAUGUUAAAAAUAUUUUUUUAAAAAAUAUUUUAUAAAUCAACUUCUUUUAUUUUAUUUUAGUACAUAAUUCAUAAUAACUGAAUUGAUUCAUUUAACAUUUAUCUUUAAUAUAUGUAUUCUCUUUGUUUCUUUUUAUAAUAAUCUUAAUCUGAAUAUCUUUUUAGGAAAAAAUACUUAUGGAAAAAUGCAUGAUGGCACCAUCCACCGGACCCAUCUUGAAGAAAAAUGGAUGAUGGAAAUGGUCUAACGGACCCAACUCAUGGAAAAAUGCAUGAUGGCAACUUCCAACGGGCCCAUCUUGUGAAAAAGAAGAAGCAGGUUGGCAUAGGACGGCAGUGUCCUCUUCAUCACAUUUGUUUUCGUUUUGAUAUUACCCUGAUUAUUUUUUACAUUCUAAAAGUAUUUUUUAAAAAUAAAUUUUAUUUUAUUUUUUGAUGUUCUUAUAUUAUUUUAAUAUAUAAAUGUUAAAAAUUAUUUUUAAAAAAUAAAAAAAUAUUAUUUAAAUAUAUUUCCAAACUAAAAAUACUUUAAAAACCAACUAUUAUCAUACUCCCAAACACUCCUAAGUAUUGCUUACAUUGAAAUUUUUUUUCCUUUGUCAAGACUUUACUGAUUAUUCUUUUAUAUAUUAUUGUAAAUGAAUUGUUUAAAAAUUUAAUUUUUUUAAUUUUUUUUUGACAAUUUAGUUUUAAUUAAACUUUAAUUGAUUUUAAAUUUUUAUAAAAAGAUAAAAUAAAAAAAUAAAAAAGAUAUAAGUGUCAUGCUAUAAAUUUUGCAAAGGAUGUAUUUUCCCAUACUAAAAACAAUAAAAAGUGAAAGUAAUUGAUGUAAUGACAUAGCAACCAUAAACAUUUGGAUGAUCAAAAUAAAAAUAACUCAUUUUUAAGCUAUAAUUGUUCAUUCGGUCACCUGUUCAAGUACAUAUAGAAAAUGAUAAUUUUACUGUACAAAUUUUUAGCACCUCGUCGUACUUUUCAUGAUAAUUAUUCUCAAGCUUAUGGGGCAAUAAUCUCACGAACUCAUCUUAUCUCGUAGAAAAAAAACUCUUGAAAAGCCCCCGCUGUAUAAAAACCCUUGAAACCAAAUGAAACUGUAUAAAUUAAUACAACAUGAGCAUGCAUUGAAACUUGUUUAAAUCUUAAAACUAGAAUACACAACGAUGCACCAAAGUCUUGGUACCAUCAAGGCUAUGAAAACCCAAACUUGUAUAAAAUGGAAAGAUUGUCCACUAGAAAAUAAUAGCAAUUGUUGAUGCUCACCUCAAUAAAGUGAAACCAAGCUCGUCGCCAAUAUGGAUUUAUGUAUAGAACUGCACCUAUCACCAGCAGUACCAUGAUGUAUACAACCCAAAAGGUCACAUAGAAAACCUCCAUAUCCAUAAAGCCACUAUUAUCUUCAUUGUUCGUUGAAGUUGGCGUUGGUGAUGGUGGCAUAGCCGCACCACAUAUUUUGGGUAGCGGUUCUCCACAAAGAAAAGGGUUGUCCUUGUAGCACCUCUCAUCAAACGUGGCAAACUGUGCAACUCUCGCAGGAGUCUUACCAGAUAAAUUAUUAUGAGCCACACUAAAAACUUCUAGAGAAAAUAGUUCAGGAAGUCGAGGUGGGAUUUCUCCAUCCAAUUUGUUGUAGGAAAGAUCCAAGCUCUCUAUUUCCUUUAAGUUUGAAAAUGUUGGUGGAAUUGGUCCAGUCAAACUGUUGUGCGAAAGGUUCAACGCCUUGAUCUUGUUGAGGUUUCCAAUUUCAGGAGGAAUCUCUCCUGUGAAAUUGUUGCAUGAGAAAUCAAUUCCUGUUAAGUACUGGAUAAUGCUUCCUCUAUAAGAAAGGGAUACAUUCUUCGUUGUAAACUCAAAAGAUUGGUGUGAUGAGGAUUCAUAACCAUAAGAAUUGUAUUGUUGAGGGAAAGGAUGAGUAGAUAUCAUCCAAAAGAGGAUGUUACCAGAAAGGUGAUUGUGAGAAAGAUCAAUCAAG
rnacentral:lncRNA from 1 species